rnacentral:lncRNA from 1 species
CCCCGGAGGUGCGUUUGAUCCGCUCGGACUCGCUGACGACCCGGAUACUUUCGCUGAGCUCAAGGUGAAGGAGUUGAAGAACGGCAGACUGGCGAUGUUCUCCAUGUUUGGUUUCUUCACUCAGGCCAUUGUUACAGGCAAGGGACCCAUCGAGAACUUGCUCGACCACCUUGACAACCCCACCGUCAACAAUGCCUGGGCGUAUGCAACCAACUUCACUCCCGGAUCCUAGACGCUUCAAUUUGCAAAGAAAAAAAGAAAAAGAUGAUGUUCCGAAAUCACUGUAAACCAGAAUAAAACAUGCUUACUUCUUGUCACUGUUGACACUUCGGAACUUGUGAAGAGCAGUGAUCCUGUUGGACUUGACAAAGAAGAUCCUCGUGUGCCUUUUAGGAUCGAGCUUGCAAAGUUCCUCGUUGAGAACAGAAUAAAAAAACUUUACGUGAUUAUACACGACAUGGAACCAUUUCCUGUUAUCAAAGCUAUGCAUUGCCUCUGGAAAACUCACUGAGAAUCAGCAAAAAGAAACAAGGAAGCUGAACUAGUAACUUACCUUGAUCGAUUGUUGGGUGAACAAGCACUGCCAAAUCUUGUAAAAGACGGUAUCAGAACAAGUGAAACAAGAAAAAAGAAAGAGUCAAUUCCAAGGAGAGUUUUCCAGAGGCAUGAGAAUGGACUUGUGCUGGAGAUAUGGAAGCAAGCCUUCGUAUCCAUUCUCUCGGCCGAUUCCACUCAUCUUGUAGCCUCCAAACGGUACUGUUGGUCCUGCUCUCAGGUAGGAAUUCACGUAGACAACGCCCGAUUUGAUCGACCUGGUCAGAAGAUUGACUGUGUCAAUGUUUUUGCUGAAGACCGCCGCUGCUAGACCGUAGUGUGUGCUGUUUGCAAGCUCCACGGCUUCGUCAAGAGUCCUGACUCAGUGAAGUAAUUACCAUCAGAUAAACCAAGGCAUAAACGAAGCUUUCUUACUUGAACUUGAGCACUGAAAGCACGGGACCAAAGAUUUCCUCGUUGGCAAUCUUCAUGGAUUGCUACACAAAUGUCCUGGAUGUUUUGAGAAAAGAGUAAGAGAAUUUUAACACAGCAAACCUUGACGUCUCCAAAAAUUGUUGGCUGGAUGUAAAAUCCUUUGUCGCCAAUGCGUUUGCCUCCCACUAGAAGGCUGGCACCUUCUUUUUUUCCCGACUCAAUGUAGCUCAAAACUUUGUCCAGCUGCUCCUGGUUGAUCUGAUAAAACAGUUCGUGACUAGUUUCCGAAAGAUCAAGAGAGGAUAUUUUCUUACUUGGGGACCAUUUUGGACUCCGGACUGGAAAGGAUCUCCAAUUACACGUUCGCUUGCCAGCUUGACAGACCUCUUGAUAAACUCGUCAUGAAUACUUUCGUGAACAAAGACUCGCGAUGCAGCAACACAGACUUGUCCCUGAAACACAUGUCAUCAUUUCCAAACAAGUUCCCAUCCUGAAAAUUUCACCUGAUGCAUGAAAAUGGCAUUUUGAGAGACGGCCACAGCCGAGUCCAAGUCGGCAUCCUCGCAGAUUAUAAACGGAGAUUUGCCACCAAGCUCCAGUGUGACGGGCUUUAAGUUGCUUCUCGCAGCACUCUCCAUUAUCAUUCUUCCAACUUCAGUGGAACCAGUAAAUGUCACCUGAGGAAAAAAUGAACUUUUUUUUUCAACUUUUUUUUUCAACUUUUCUUUUCAAUUGCAAGCUUUCUUACCUUAUCCACGCUCAUAUGCUUCGAAAUCGCGGCUCCUGCAGUGGGACCAUAACCAGGAAUAACAUUGAGGACUCCCGCGGGAAUCCCUGCCUAUAUUCGUGAAGAAAAAAUGACUUUUUGUAGUGCAAGUCUUUCUUACCUCUUGAGAAAGACUCGCCAGGAGCAGUCCUGUCAAAGGUGUCUGCUCGGCAACCUUGACAACGAUCGUAUUUCCACAAGUUAACGCAGACCCGACUUUGUUGAGAAACAUAUGAGCCGGGAAGUUCCACGGAACAAUCGCUCCAACCACACCAAUUGGCUCCAAAAGGGUGUAGCACAUCCGAGUAGAAUCAGUUCGCAAGGUCUUUCCAUUGAGCUUGUCAGCCCAGCCUGAGAAAAAAAAAGCCACUCCACUGGUUCAGCAGUGUUUCGAUAUUGAAAAUAUGUUUGUAGUACCUGCAUUGUAUCGCAGAGAGGCAACCGAACCCGCAAUUAUCCCCUUGCUUAGAUCGAUCAACAUUCCGUUGUUGAGGGUCUCAAGAGUUGCCAGUUCGUCGAGAUGUUCCUCGAUCACAUCCGCGAACUUGUAAAGUAUCCUUCCUCUUUCCUAUCAAACGAGCAUGAACAAAAGAUAAGUAAGAAGGAAGAAGGAAGAACUCACAGCAGCAGCAAGUCGUGGCCAGGGCCCGUGAUCAAACGCUUCGCGCGCGGCUCUCACGGCCAGAUCCACAUCCGCCGCGUCUCCCUCGGCGACUUGAGCAAUACAUUCCGAGUUGCUGGGAUUGAAAGUGGGGAACGUCUUGCCUGCGAAAGAUCGACAAAACCAUUUCACUCUCACCACAAAAGCACGAGAAAAGCAAAGAUCACAACCUGAGACAGCGUCCACGAAUCGCCCAUCGAUGAAGAGCUUGGUGUGCUUGACGAGAUCCUUGGCAUCGCUCCCCAUAUCUUUUUUACUUUGCUGCUCUCCAAGCCUCGAGUAGUAUAUACCGGUGCGAAUACCAAUGCGAUAUGAUAUCGACGUGGACCUGUUAUUUCAGUGGUAGGUAUGGUGGCCAAAAACUUCGUAAAAAGGAUUGACAAACGCAAAUCUUGAUAAACUAGCAUCAAAACACAUUUACCGUUCGGUGAUGCAGUACUGUUAGGUGCGAAGAUUGAAAUAAGGGAGAGACAACUCACUUUCUCCGAUGGUCACAGAAGUUGGGGGGUCUGCUUAAACAUGAAUCUUCACAGGACUCCUCUCAGUUAAAUUGAGGCUAUUUCAGAGUUAAUGAGUCCUUGAUAGAAAUUAAACUUCCCAAACAAGCUUUCUCCAAACCUUAGAAAGAUGUUGCCCAAUUUUAUGUCCAUGAUGUUUUUUCAUCCCCAACAUGCACUCUAAGCAUUCAUUCUACUUCAUGAACUGAAGGAAAAACUUUAAAAAGAAUAUACAAUAUAACAAUAAUUUUAAUUUUAAAUAUUCUAGACCCAUCUUUCCUGGCCGCGGAGAGAGCCUCGGCGUGGCUUCCCUGGCACCCGCUCCAGCGUUCGGCAGAGUCGUGCUGUGUGGUCCAUGGCAUGGCCUUGGGGCCACAUCCACACACCUGUUGGGCAAGGGGGAGGGAGGCAGCAGUGUGGUCCUCUGGGCUUCCAAGGGAAGCAAGCCUCGGGGGCGGCGGGAAAGGGGAGGGGCCCCCACCUGCCGUGUGACGGAGGGAGGAAGGGGGGAGGACUCUCCCGGGCCCAAACCGCAUGGAGAAGCCUCAGCCUGUGUGCGUGUGAGGGAGAAGUACGUGAUGCAAACCAGUAUUAACAGCGUCUGGAUGAAGAACACUCCCCAUGAGUGUUUUCCUCCUUGUCCUUGGAAAUCAAUCAAGCUGAGAAAGAACUACUAUAAUCUGUCAGCUAGUGAUGCUAAAUUCUUGUGAUAUAAUUUAACAACGACAAAUUCUCCUGAAUAAGUCGUAUUCCAAUGAGCUAUAAUUUGUAAACUCGUGAUAUACUUAACAUCACUAGCCCAGUCAAACAAGGCGGCCUGAGAUGCGCGUCACAGGAAAUUUUCCGCAGUUUCCAAUAUAAAUGAUUACAUCUUCUUCCUGCAAUUCUCAAAUACAAUUCUUCGAGUUCAUGGCGCUCUCAAUCUUUUUAUACUUUCUUCUAAGUUUAAGUGCCAUGUCCAUCUCUCAGGUCUUUGCCUUUCUUAUCUCGCACGAGACAAUCUCUUAAAGCCCAUGGUUUGAUUUUAUUUCCAGGGACGAGAUCAAGGAGACACUCACAUUGUCUAUUUGGGGAAUGUCGAUAAAUCCCUCCAUCCAGACGCUGUUACAAGCUCCCAUCACGCACUCCUUGGGGAUGUUCUAGGAAGGUAAAACUCCAGAAGAAAUUAUGAAUUCAUCCAAAUUCGUGUAUUCCAGUGUCAAAGCUGCCAGAGAAUCAAUCGGUUUUAGCUACAGGCAUGGAUUUAGUGGCUUCUCGGCUCGUUUGACAGAAGAACAAGCUGCUCAACUCUCUGGUAACGCAUCAUAAAAACAUUAUACAUAAUCUAAGUCAGUCUUUAUCCAUAUUGCAGGCCUCCCAAACGUCUUGUCCGUCUUUCGCAAUGAAAUCCACACGGUCCACACCACAAACUCAUGGGAAUUUCUGGGACUCUAUGGAAGUGGAGAGAAAUCCUUGUUUGGUGCUAGUGAAGCUACUGAAUCAUCGUGGUUAUGGAAGAAAUCAAAAUUCGGCAAGGACGUUAUCAUUGGUGUUUUGGAUUCAGGUAUUUCUCUCUUUCUUCUUGUUUUCAUGGUUGGCAGGAGAAGGUCCGCCAACUUUGCUAGCAUGGCAGAGGGCUUGGACUAAUGUUGGUUUUCCCAGGAGUAUGGCCAGAGUCGGAAAGCUUUUCGGAUCAUGGCAUGGGACCAAUCCCCGAAAGAUGGAAAGGAACUUGCGAAACUGGGGAGCAAUUCCGCUCUUCUCACUGCAACAAGUAAAAGCAAGACUCACGUGAAUCUAAAUUUGUUCAACUUUUGAUCUUUCAGGAAGCUUAUAGGUGCCAGAUUCUUCUCUCGCGGCCUACAGGAUGGUCCCAAGGCUUAUGCAAAAGCAAACCAAGAAGUUCUUUCUCCAAGAGAUGUUCAAGGCCAUGGAACUCACGUGGCUUCCACUGCCGGAGGUCGAUUUGUGAGAAACGCAAACUGGUUUGGCUACGCGAAAGGCACUGCAAAAGGUGGAGCUCCAGACUCACGUCUCGCAAUCUACAAGAUAUGCUGGAGAAACGUCACGGCCCGGACCGUAGGGUGUGAAGACGCUCACAUUCUCAGCGCAUUUGAUAUGGGAAUCCACGAUGGCGUGGAUAUCAUUUCUGCAUCUUUUGGUGGUUUAGCAGAUGAUUACUUCCUUGAUUCUACGUCCAUUGGAGCGUUCCAUGCCAUGCAGAAAGGCAUUGUGGUGGUGGCUGCCGCUGGAAACGUGCAGGAACGUGAAGGGCCUGGCUCGGUGCAAAAUGUAGCUCCUUGGAUCAUCACUGUUGGGGCGAGCACUCUUGAUCGAUCCUAUUUUGGAGACCUUUACCUUGGCAACAAUAAAUCAUUUCGUGGUUUUAGUAUGACGGAGCAAAGAUUAAAAAAGCGGUGGUAUCAUCUUGCUGCGGGAGCCGAUGUUGGCUUGCCAACUUCCAACUUUUCAGCCAGGUAAAAUAUCAAAUCUAUAGAUUUGAGUUAAAGAAAUAUUAAUGCUGCAGGCAACUGUGUAUGAGCCAGUCUUUGGAUCCCAAGAAAGUCCGGGGAAAGAUUGUGGCAUGCUUGAGAGGGCCGAUGCAGCCAGUGUUCCAAUCAUUCGAAGUUUCUCGAGCUGGCGGAGCUGGGAUUAUCUUUUGCAACUCCACUCUAGUCGAUCAAAAUCCUAGAAAUGAAUUUCUUCCCUCGGUUCAUGUCGAUGAAGAAGUUGGACAAGCCAUCUUUUCAUAUAUCAAAUCUACAAGGUAAAAUCUUCGUUCUUCUUUCUGUUUCUUACCUUUGUGUGCCUGGCAGAAAUCCUGUAGCGGAUAUACAGCAUCAGAUAUCAUUGAGAAAUCAAAAGCCUGCUCCUUUCAUGGCACCUUUUUCUUCCUCUGGUCCCAACUUCAUUGAUCCAGACAUUCUCAAGGUUUGUCAAUGCUUUCUGUCUAUUUGUUUUGGUAGAUUUUGAAGAUUUUUGUUCUUUCAGCCGGAUAUUACAGCUCCAGGAGUAUACAUUCUAGCAGCAUACACUCAAUUCAACAAUUCUGAAGUACCAUACCAAUUUUUAUCUGGAACCUCCAUGUCUUGCCCUCACGUCACUGGGAUUGUCGCCCUACUAAAAUCCUAUCGUCCAGCCUGGAGUCCAGCAGCAAUCAAAUCAGCCAUAGUAACAACAGGUAACUAAGUGAUACAUCUUUGUUUGUUACUGACACUUCAAAACAAAACAGGUUACUCAUUCGAUAAUCUUGGAGAACCAAUCAAGAAUUCAUCACGAGCUCCUGCGUCACCCUUUGAUUUUGGUGGAGGGCAUGUAAAUCCAAAUGCUGCUGCACACCCUGGCCUAGUAUACGAUGCCGACGAGCAAGACUACAUUGGAUAUCUCUGCGGUCUGGGAUACAACCACACUGAACUUCAGAUCCUCACGCAAACUUCGGCUAAGUGUCCUGACAACCCCACAGACCUCAACUAUCCAUCCAUUGCCAUCUCCGAUUUGCGCCGCAGCAAAGUCGUGCAGAGGCGAGUGACGAACGUGGACGAUGAUGCGACGAAUUACACGGCAUCUAUCGAGGCACCGGAGAGUGUGUCGGUGUCGGUUCAUCCAUCGGUGCUGCGGUUCAAGCACAAGGGCGAGACGAAAGCAUUCCAGGUGAUAUUUAGAGUGGAGGACGACUCAAACAUUGAUAAGGAUGUUUUCGGGAAGCUGAUAUGGAGCAACGGAAAGUAUACGGUCACAAGCCCCAUUGCAGUCAAGCCAAGCAGAUCUUAAGCAAUUUUUGGGAUGGAAUAAAAUUUCGAACAUAAAAUAAAAUUUCGAAACAUUCGUGUUCUGGUAGAUUUUUUUGCCUGGUAGAUUUUUUGCCUCGGAGGCUCAUGCAAAAGCCAAUCAAUUUCCAGACCAUGGAUGCCAAGUGCUCCAACUGUCAGCGAACAUCCAUUGGAGCUUAAUCAUUAUUAGUAUAAUCUUGGGGCAAUAUUGAUCACCUUACCUAUCGCAUGCGAAGCAAUUGCUCUACCAUGUGAACUACACCCUUUUAACACACGCCAUUUUUUAUGUUCUCCAUUGUGACCCACAAAAGCAUAUUCGGUCAAGUGAUAUUAAUGGCAAAGAGAACAGGAAGAAAGAAAGAAUUUAGGGUUCUACGGCCCCAGAUGGUCGAUCUGGGGCAGGGAUCUUUGCGUGUGGACGGAGCAUCGAUGGUGUGCAAGGAAUCGGCGAGGUAGCGCUUCCAAUAUCGCUGGACGGCGCCUUUACGCUCCAGGAAGCGCCGCCGUAUGGGCUUGGGAAUCGGACUCUGGUCGACACAGCCGUGCGAAGAGCUUGGCAGAUCGAUGGUGGCAAAGUCUUGUCGCAUUUUUCCAGCCACACUGUCCAAGCCGUCGCUGCUAUUGCUGUUCGUGGCUUGGGGAUGGAUCCGAUUUGUGCAAGCUGCUGGUUUACGAAUCAGGUGGGAAACACAUAUUAUCCAUUUCCUCUCUUUCCUCGUACUCUUUCGUUGUUUGCGUUUUUUCUUGGCUAGUCUUCACUCUAUUUUACGUCCUUGUUUGAUUUCUUACGUGUUUAGAUUUCAGUGUUUCAUAGCUAGUUUCUCUUUGCGUGGGUCUUUCUUAUACUUGGUAGAAGGAAUCUGAUCUUGUUCUUUCACAAGAUGGACAGUUCAAGCUACACCGAGACAUCGAGAAGGAGCCUGGCAUGUUUGCCACUCUCAUACUCCAGCUCCCUGCAUGGUUGCCAGGGAGGUGCUCUCGUGGUUCAGCAUGGCAACCUCACUUUGACGCUGGCUUCAAGGACACCGUCUUCUUUGCCGACUGCGAGCAUGAAAUCCAGCCAGUGAGACGAGGAAGGUGUGCGUGCAUUUCAACCUGGUACGCAAGACGAACGUUAGAUCCAACAGAGCUCUGUGCGAAGUUAGUACCGCGACUGUGCUACGAGUGAAGUCAUCUCUCGCACCUUAGAUCCAGGAUGCAAAUUCGUCGUUAGAGAAGUUGGUCUUUUGUGUACACGGAGACAAAUCUUUGCUUCUCUGGACUUAAAAGAUCAAGACAGGCUGGUGGUGGAGCUCCUAGGAAACGUACCGGUACUGCAGUGCUGCUGUGGUGUUUUGGCAGAAACGCAAGAGCAUCGAGCUCGUUUGCCGGGGCAGGACUUGAAGGAGCUCUGGACAUGGUGGAGUGGAGGGAGCUUCGGACUUCUCGGCUUGGCUCAUAUAUCUAGUUAAGUACUAUAUUGCGGAUAUGAGCUCCUACGAUCACUACAGGAGGAACGGAAACUUUUGCCGCUUGAUCAAGCUUUGCCUUGACUCGGGUGAUUCCAACUAAGUUUAUCGGCUGAUCGAGGUGCUGGGACAGGAAAGAAGCUCCCACAAUCACUACACGAGAUAUCUUUUGAAGGGAUCAAGUCCGUUAAGGUUGCAAAGGUGGUUGCUCAAGCCCCCAAGUUUCUGGGAUGGGAUGCCCCGAGAGAUCUCGUUUUGAAGCUUCUCCGGAGCUAGACCAGUUCGUGUUCUUCUGCCGUAAUCUCGAUAGCUGAGAUGCUCUUCGCCCUGAGGCUGCACGAUCAAAUUCCGUUCUUCAUCGAGUAGAAAGCUGGAACGGGAGAUGUUUGCAAGCUGCUCAUCAACCUCUGGAAGCAAGACGCUGCUCAACGCGUCCGUUGGAAGAACGAUACUUACCUCUAUCCGAAGCUUUGCGGGGUGGUCACAACCACGAGAAGAAAGUUUGUAUCUCGUCAGAUGAAAUCCAAAGAAGAAAUCUUGUUAGGGCUACAAGAUCACCAAAAGAAAAUCUACCAGCAUUGAUCCUGGAAGAAAUCCAGCGUUUCCAGGAGGCGCGCUAUGGCCCGGAAUGGUUUAGGGCUUAGCCUUGUCUGGUCUGCCUGCCAUGGCAAGAAACAUUGCGAAAAAGAUGCUGUGCAAUUGGGCUUAUACUGAAAGUUGCAGCUUUAGCGGACAAACAGCACUAGAUCACUCUAUCAAAGACUGGUGUCCCAGUUAAACUGAGGCUAUUUCAGGGUUAAUGUACACAAUGAUGUUUUUUCAUCCCCAACAUGCACUGUAAGCAUUCAAUAGCUUGAAGUUCUUCCUUCAAUUCACGUGAACUGAAGGAUAAACUUCACUGGCUGAAGCCUUGGAGGUUAAAGUAUAUAAAAUAAUAAAAAAGAAUAUACAAUAUCAAAAUAAUCUUGAUUUUGAAAUUCUAGCCACUACUUAAACCCAUCUUCCUAGCUAGAAGUACGUGAUGCAAACCAGUAUUAACAGCGUCUGGAUGAAGAACACUCCCCAUGAGUGUUUCCUUCUUGUCCGAGCAAAUCAAUCAAGCUGAGAAAGAACUAUUAUAAUCUGUCAGCUAGUGAUGCUAAAUUCUCGUGAUAUAAUUUAACAUCGACAAUUCUCCUGAAUAAGUCGUAUUUCAAAGAGCUAUAAUUUGUAAACUCGUGAUAUACUUUACCAUCACUAGCCCUUGACAAAUUCUCCUGAAUAAGUCAUAUAAGUCAAACAAGCCGGCCUGAGAUGCGCGUCACAGGAAAUUUUCCGCAGUUUCCAAUAUAAAUGAUUACAUCUUCUUCCUGCAAUUCUCAAAUACAAUUCUUCGAGUUCAUGGCGCUCUCAAUCUGUUUAUACGUUCUUCUAAGUUUAAGUGCCAUCUCCAUCUCUCAGGUCUUUACCUUUCUUAUCUCGCAGGAGACAAUCUUUUAAAGCUGGUUUGAUUUUAUUUCCAGGGACGAGAUCAAGGAGACACUCACAUUGUCUAUUUGGGGAAUGUCGAUAAAUCCCUCCAUCCAGACGCUGUUACAAGCUCCCAUCACGCACUCCUUGGGGAUGUUCUAGGAAGGUAAAACUCCAGAAGAAAAAAAUUAUGAAUUCAUCCAAAUUCGUGUAUUCCAGUGUCAAAGCUGCCAGAGAAUCAAUCGGUUUUAGCUACAGGCAUGGAUUUAGUGGCUUCUCGGCUCGUUUGACAGAAGAACAAGCUUCUAAACUCUCUGGUAACGCAUCAUAGAAACAUUAUACAUAAUCUAAGUCAAUAAUCUUUAUCCAUAUUGCAGGUCUCCCAAACGUCUUGUCCGUCUUUCGCAAUGAAAUCCACACGGUCCACACCACAAACUCAUGGGAAUUUCUGGGACUCUAUGGAAGCGGAGAGAAAUCCUUGUUUGGUGCUAGUGAAGCUACUGAAUCAUCGUGGUUAUGGAAGAAAUCAAAAUUCGGCAAGGACGUUAUCAUUGGUGUUUUGGAUUCAGGUAUUUCUCUCUUUCAUCUUCUUCUUGUUUUCAUGGUCGGCAGGAGAAGGUCCGCCGACUUUGCUAGCAUGGGAGAGGGCUUGGACUAAUGUUGGUUUUCCCAGGAGUAUGGCCAGAGUCGGAAAGCUUUUCGGAUCAUGGCAUGGGACCAACCCCCGAAAGAUGGAAAGGAACUUGCGAAACUGGGGAGCAAUUCAACGCUUCUCACUGCAACAAGUAAAAACAACACUCAAGUGAAUUAAAAUUUUUUCAACUUAUGAUCUUUCAGGAAACUUAUCGGUGCCAGAUUCUUUUCUCACGGCCUACAGGAUGGUCCUGAGGCUUAUGCAAAAGCACACCAAGAAGUUCUUUCUCCAAGAGAUGUUCACGGCCACGGAACUCACACGGCUUCCACUGCCGGAGGCCGAUUCGUGAGAAACACAAACUGGCUUGGCUACGCAAAAGGCACUGCAAAAGGUGGCGCUCCAGACUCACGCCUCGCGAUCUAUAAGAUCUGCUGGAGAAACAUCACGAACGGCAGCGCAGGGUGCCCGGAUUCUCACAUUCUCAGCGCAUUUGAUAUGGGAAUCCACGAUGGCGUAGAUAUUUUUUCUGCGUCGAUCAGUGGAUCGGGCGAUUACUUCCAGCACGCACUGUCGAUCGGUUCAUUCCAUGCCAUGCAGAAAGGCAUUGUGGUGGUAGCUUCUGCUGGAAACGACCAGCAAACUGUGGGUCCUGGCUCUGUGCAAAAUGUAGCUCCUUGGGUCAUCACUGUUGGAGCGAGCACUCUUGAUCGAUCCUAUUUUGGAGACCUUUACCUUGGCAACAAUAAAUCAUUUCGGGGUUUAAGUAUGACGGAGCAAAGAUUAAAAAAGCGGUGGUAUCAUCUUGCUGCGGGGGCCGAUGUUGGCUUGCGAACUUCCAACUUUUCAGCCAGGUAAAAUAUCAAUCUAUAGAUUUGAGUUAAAGAAAUAUUAAUGCUGCAGGCAAUUGUGUAUGAGCCAGUCUUUGGAUCCCAAGAAAGUCCGGGGAAAGAUUGUGGCAUGCUUGAGAGGGCCGAUGCAUCCAGCAUUCCAAUCAUUCGAAGUUUCCCGAGCUGGCGGAGCUGGGAUUAUCUUUUGCAACUCCACUCUAGUCGAUCAAAAUCCUGGAAAUGAAUUUCUUCCCUCAGUUCAUGUCGACGAAGAAGUUGGACAAGCCAUCUUUUCAUAUAUCAAAUCUACAAGGUAAAAUCUUCGUUCUUCUUUCUGUUUCUUACCUUUGUGUGCCUGGCAGAAAUCCUGUAGCGGAUAUACAGCAUCAGAUAUCAUUGAGAAAUCAAAAGCCUGCUCCUUUCAUGGCACCUUUUUCUUCCUCUGGUCCCAACUUCAUUGAUCCAGACAUUCUCAAGGUUUGUCAAUGUUUUCUGUCUAUUUGUUUUGGUAGAUUUUGAAGAUUUUUGUUCUUUCAGCCGGAUAUUACAGCUCCAGGAGUAUACAUUCUAGCAGCAAACACACAAUUCAACAACUCUCAAAUAUCAUACAAAUUCGACUCUGGAACUUCCAUGUCUUGCCCUCACGUCACUGGGAUUGUUGCCCUACUAAAAUCCUAUCGUCCAGCCUGGAGUCCAGCAGCAAUCAAAUCAGCCAUAGUAACAACAGGUAACUAAGUGAUACAUCUUUGUUUGUUACUGACACUUCAAAACAAAACAGGUUACUCAUUCGAUAAUCUUGGAGAACCAAUCAAGAACUCAUCAAGAGCUCCUGCAUCACCCUUUGAUUUUGGUGGAGGGCAUGUAAAUCCAAAUGCUGCUGCACACCCUGGCCUAGUAUACGACGCCGACGAGCAAGACUACAUUGGAUAUCUCUGCGGUCUGGGAUACAACCAGACUGAACUUCAGAUCCUCACGCAAACUUCCGCUAAGUGUCCCGACAACCCCACAGACCUCAACUAUCCAUCCAUUGCCAUCUCCGAUUUGCGCCGCAGCAAAGUCGUGCAGAGGCGAGUGACGAACGUGGACGAUGAUGUGACGAACUACACAGCAUCUAUCGAGGCACCAGAGAGUGUGUCAGUGUCGGUUCAUCCAUCGGUGCUGCGGUUCAAGCACAAGGGCGAGACGAAAGCAUUCCAGGUGAUAUUUAGAGUGGAGGACGACUCAAACAUUGAUAAGGAUGUUUUCGGGAAGCUGAUAUGGAGCAACGGAAAGUAUACGGUCACUAGCCCCAUUGCAGUCAAGCCAAGCAGAUCUUUGGAAUAAAAUUUUGAAACAUGUGUUCUGGUAGAUUUUUUGCCUCGGAGGCUCAUGCAAAAAUUUCCAGACCAUGGAUGCCAACUCCAACUCAAAGAAUUUAGGGUUCUAAGGCCCAGAUGGUCGAUGCGAGAAGCCGCAGGGAUCUUUGCGUGUGGAGGGAGCAUCGAUGGUCACCUCCCGCUCCCGGCGAGGUAGCGCUUCCAAUAUCGCUGGACGGCGCCUUUACGCUCCAGGAAGCGCCGCCGUAUGGGCUUGGGAAUCGGACUCUGGUCGACACGGCAGAUCGAUUUUUCCAGCCACACUGUCCAAGCCGUCGCUGCUAUUGCUGUUCGUGGCUUGGGGAUGGAUCCGAUUUGUACAAGCUGCUGGUUUGCGAAUCAGGGGAAACACAUAUUAUACUCUUUCGUUGUUUGCGUUUUCUCUUGGCUAGUCUUCGCUCUAUUUUACGUCCUUGUUUUAUCUAGUUAAGUACUAUAUUGCGGAUAGGAGCUCCUACGAUCACUACAGGAGGAGCGGAAACUUUUGCCCUUGAUCAAGAUCAAGCUUUGCCUUGACUCGGGUGAUUCCAACUAAGUUUAUCUGCUGAUCGAGGUGCUGGGACAGGAAAAAAGCUCCCACAAUCACAUAUCUUUUGAAGGGAUCGAUCAAGUCCGUUAAGGUUGCAAAGGUGGUUGCUUGAGCCCCCAAGUUUCUGGGAUGGGAUGCCCCGAGAGAUCUCGUUUUGAAGCUUCUCCGGAGCUAGAGCUGCUCGCGUGAUGGAGUGCGUGGCUGGGAGGUCUCUGGGACGUGGAUGAGUUUGCCCAGCCAUGCAAUUCCUUCUGAGGCUGCACGAUCAAAUUCCACCCUUCGUCGAAUAGAAAGCUUCUGGAAGCAAGACGCUGCUCAACGCGUCUGUUGGACGAACGAUACUUAACUCUAUCCAAAGCUUUGCGGGGUGGUCACAACCAGAGACCUGAAGGUGGCAGAGCUCGCAAGCAACGUGAUGAACGUGUUUUUAUGGCUGGACGACGCCACAAUGCUGGGGAGCUUCAUACUCAAUCUCAAGAGCCAGAAGCUCAAGGACUUUGUGGCGAAAGUUUUCCGGGAUGGAGGCAUCUGGUAUCGAUCAAAGGGAAGUGUGCUCUUUGCGACAUAGCCCAGGAGAGGAUCAACGAGCUCUCGAAGGUGCAGAAGCCGGAUGCGCACAGGUGGUGUGGCAACGCUUCCGGGUCAUCCCGAGGUGGAGGCGUUUCUCCGGGGUCCCCAAGAGACGUUCACAGGUCCCAGGCGCGAAGCUUUGCUAGCAGCUACUUCGAUGGGAAGUUUAGGAGCGGCUUCAGUGCAAAGCAUAGGCUUCCUUCUGAUACUCGGAAUGCGUAUGCUGAGAUGAGGAAGGUGUACACGAAUGGACAGACGGAGCUGAGGCUCCUUCAGCAACGCAUUUAAGAGGUGAAGAUUGGCAAGAGGAAAGCUAGCGCACGCGCUAGCUCAUAAAAGAGUGUGUGGUCAAAACUGGCGAGGCCAACAAGGUAAAAGAAGAAAAUCGUCAAGUUUACAGUGUUGGUAGCUCAAUGUUGCAGCUUCACUGCAGCGAACAUUCGUUGUAUGAAUGCUUCUUGCUUCUUAAAUUUUGCAUCACGGGUUUAGUCGUCACACGGACACAUUCCGCGCCUCCUCCAAUAUAAAUGAUCACAUCUUCUUACCUACAAAUCUCAAACACAAGUCAUCAAGUUCAUGGCGCUCUCAAUCUUCCUUUUAAGUUCAAGUGCCAUCUCCAUCGCUCAGGUGUAUAUCAUUUCUUAUGUAGCGUAACUUCUAGUUUAUAAGCCCUUGCGUUUGAUUCUAUUUCCAGGGACGAGAUCAAGGAGACUCUCACAUUGCGAUAAAUCGCUCCAUCCAGAUGCUGUUACUAACUCCUUCAGGACGUUUUAGGAAGGUAAAACUUCGAUCACAAAAGAAAAGAGUAUUCGUGUAUGCCAGUGUCGAAGUUGCCAGAGAUUCACUGGGUUUUAGCUACAGGCAUGGAUUCAGUGGCUUCCCGGCUAGAACAAGCUUUUAACUCUCUGGUAACGCUCAUAGAAAUUAAAAAUGUAAGUCAAUCUCUCCUCACGCUGCAGGCCUCCCAAACGUGUUGUCCAUUUUUCCCAACAAAAUCCACACGGUCCACACCACAUUGACCUCAUGGGAGUUUCUCGGCCUCUAUGGAAAUGGACAGAAAACCUUGUAUGGGGGUAGUGAAGCUACUGAAUCAUCAUGGCUAUGGAGAAAAGCAAAAUUUGGCAAAGACAUUAUCAUCGGCGUUUUGGAUUCAGGUAUUUCCUUUUUCCAUCAUUUUCUUCUUUUUACUGGUCUUCUCCAGGAGUAUGGCCAGAGUCGGAAAGGUUUUCCGAUCAUGGCACGGGACCAAUCCCCGAAAGAUGGAAAGGAACUUGCGAAACUGGGGAGCAAUUCCACUCUUCUCACUGCAACAAGUAAAAGCAUGACUCACGUGAAUCUAAAUUUGUUCAACUUUUGAUCUUUCAGGAAACUUAUAGGUGUCAGAUUCUUCUCUCGUGGCCUACACGAUGGUCCUGAGGCUUAUGCAAAAGCAAACCAAGAAGUUCUUUCUCCAAGAGAUGUUGUCGGCCAUGGAACUCACGUGGCUUCCACUGCGGGAGGCCGAUUUGUGAGAAACACAAACUGGUUUGACUACACGAAAGGCACUGCAAAAGGUGGAGCUCCAGACUCAUGUCUCGCAAUCUACAAGAUAUGCUGGAGAAACGUCACGGCCAGCACCAUACGAUGUGAAGACUCUCACAUUCUCAGCGCAUUUGAUAUGGGAAUCCACCAUGGCGUGGAUAUCAUUUCUGCAUCUUUAGGUGAUUCAGCUUCCUUGAAUCUACGUCCAUUGGAGCGUUCCAUGCCAUGCAGAAAGGCAUUGUGGUGGUGGGAAAUGUAACCCCCUGGAUCAUUACUGUUGGAGCGAGCACUCUUGAUCGAGCCUACUUUGCAGAUCUUUUCCUUGGCAACAAUGUACGCAAGUACAGGGCAUAUAGUCUAUUAUACAUCUCACUUUUUUGGAUUCAGGGUUCUAGUUUUACGAGGCAAAGAUUGUCAAAACGGAGGUAUCAUCUUGCUGUGGGUGCCGAUGUUGGCUUGCCAAGUUUCCAGCCAGGUAAAAUAAUUAAUCUUAACUUUGAGUUCAUUUGAAAUUAUUAAUGAUGCAGGCUAAUGUGUAUGAGCGGGUCUUUGGAUCCCAAAGAAGUCCAGGGAAAGAUUGUGGCAUGCUUGAGAGGGCCGAUGCAUCCACUUAUGUGAAGUUUCUCAAGCUGGUGGAGCUGGGAUUAUCGUUUGCAACUCCACUGAAUUCUUUCUUCAGUUCAUGUUGAUGAAAGAGUUGGACAAACCAUCUUUUUAUAUAUCAAAUCUACAAGGUAAAAGAGUUAUUUUCUUCCUUUCUUUCCUUUCUUCCUUAUUUUCUUUCUUUCUGUUUCUUAGCUUUGUGUCUGGCAGAGAUCCUAUAGCGGAUAUACAGCAUCAGAUAACUUUGAGAAACUGAAAACAUGCUCCUUCCAUGGCACCUUUUUCAUCCUCUAGUCCCAACUCGGUUGAUCCAGACAUUCUUAAGUUUUGUCAAUGUUUUAUCAUUUUAAAUUUUUUUUUUUUUUUUUUUGGGGUAUGUUCUUUCAGCCCAAUUGACAAGCAUAUAACUUGUUCCAUCUCACAGUGAUCCUAGUUUUCUUGAGUUUGUAUGUGUGGUAAGAACCAUCAUGGCUCAGGUGGAGAAUGCAAACAGCAGUAGCUUCUGCAAUUAGCUUCACCACUCUCACAAGCAAGAAUCCUCCUCCUUGUCAAAUAUGGUCUUCCCACUGCUUCUGCCUGCAACAGCAGGGAGGGUUUUGCAUGCCCCGAAGUGAACAGCUUUGUCAACGAAUUUGAUCCGUUCUACAGAUGGUCUCCCUUGCCAGUGUCCUCACCACGGCAACUAGCAUCGACAUCUAGCUCGCCAAUUCCACCUACCAGCAAGCUAGUGCAUGGAGAGUGAUCAGCACACAAAGCUUCGGAUAGAGGUAGGUAUCGUUCUUCCAUCGGACGCGUUGAGCAGCGUCUUGCUUCCAGAGGUUGAUGAGCAGCUUGCAAAGAUCUCCCGUUCCAGCUUUCUACUCGGCGAAGGAUGGAAUUUGAUCGUGCAGCCUCAGAGCGAAGAGCAUCUCAGUGAUCGAGAUUACGGCAGAAGAACACGAACUGGUCUAGCUCCGGAGAAGCUUCAAAACGAGAUCUCUCGGGGCAUCCCAUCCCAGAAACUUGGGGGCUUGAGCAACCACCUUUGCAACCUUAACGGACUUGAUCCCUUCAAAAGAUAUCUCGUGUAGUGAUUGUGGGAGCUUCUUUCCUGUCCCAGCACCUCGAUCAGCCGAUAAACUUAGUUGGAAUCACCCGAGUCAAGGCAAAGCUUGAUCAAGCGGCAAAAGUUUCCGUUCCUCCUGUAGUGAUCGUAGGAGCUCCUAUCCGCAAUAUAGUACUUAACUAGAUAUAUGAGCCAAGCCGAGAAGUCCGAAGCUCCCUCCACUCCACCAUGUCCAGAGCUCCUUCAAGUCCUGCCCCGGCAAACGAGCUCGACGCUCUUGCGUUUCUGCCAAAACACCACUGCAGCACUGUAGUACCGGUACGUUUCCUAGGAGCUCCACCACCAGCCUGUCUUGACCUUUAAGUCCAGAGAAGCAAAGAUUUGUCUCCGUGUACUUGUGCUCGAGACAAAAGACCAACUUCUCUGGCGAUGAAUUUGCAUCCUGGAUCUAAGGUGCGAGAGAUGACUUCACUCGUAGCACAGUCGCGGUACUAACGUCGCACAGAACUCUGUAGGAUCUAACGUUCGUCUUGCGUACCAGGUUGAAAUGCAGGCUCGUCUCACUGGCUGGAUUUCAUGCUCGCAGUCGGCGAAGAAGGCGGUGUCCUUGAAGCCGGCGUCAAAGUGACGUUGCCAUGCUGAACCAUGAGAGCACCUCCCUGGCAACCAUGCAGGGAGCUGGAGUAUGAGAGUGGCAAACAUGCCAGGCUCCUUCUUGAUGUCUCGGUAUAGCUUGAAGUGUCCAUCUUGUGAAAGAACAAGAUCAGAUUCGUUCUACCAAGUAUAAAAAAGACCCACGCAAAGAGAAACUAGCUAUGAAACACUGAAAUCUAAACACGUAAGAAAUCAAACAAGGACGUAAAAUAGAGCGAAGACUAGCCAAGAGAAAACGCAAACAACGAAAGAGUACGAGGAAAGAGAGGAAAUGGAUAAUAUGUGUUUCCCACCUGAUUCGUAAACCAGCAGCUUGCACAAUCGGAUCCAUCCCCAAGCCACGAACAGCAAUAGCAGCGACGGCUCGGACAGUGUGGUUGGAAAAAUGCGACUUUGCCACCAUCGAUCUGCCAAGCUCUUCGCAAUUCCCAAGCCCAUGCCUGCUCGGCCGCUUCCUGGAGCGUAAAGGCGCCGUCCAGCGAUAUUGGAAGCGCUACCUCGCCGAUUCCUUGCACACCAUUGAUGCUCCCUCGACACGCAAAGAUCCCUGACCAUCUGGGGCCGUAGAACCCUAAAUUCUUUCUCCUUUCUCGGGAAAGCUUCCCGCGCAAGCCUCGCAAUGUUCUCUUCGCUAUUAAUAUCACGUGACCGAAUAUGCUUUUGUCGGUGAUAAUGGGUGUUAAAAGGGUGUAUUUCAGAUGGUAGAGGGAUCGCUUUGCAUGCGAUAGGUAAAAGGAUCAAUAUUGCCCCAAGAUUAUACUAAUAAUGAUUAAGCUUAGAGCACUUGGCAUCCAUGGUCUGGAAAUUGAUUGGCUUUUGCAUGAGCCUCCGAGGCAAAAAGUCUACCAGAACACGAACAUUGCUAUGUUUCAAAAUUUUAUUCCAAAGAUCUGCUUGGCUUGACUGCAAUGGGGCUUGUGACCGUAUACUUUCCGUUGCUCCAUAUCAGCUUCCCGAAAACAUCCUUAUCAAUGUUUGUCCUCCACUCUAAAUAUCUUUCGUCUCGCCCUUGUGCUUGAACCGCAGCACCGAUGGAUGAACCAACACCGACACACUCUCUGGUGCCUCGAUAGUUGCCGUGUACUUCGUCGCAUCAUCGUCCACGUUCGUCACUCGCCUGUGCAUGACUUUGCUGCGGCACAAAUGAGAGAUAUCCAAUGUAGUCUUGCUCGUCGGUGUCGCAUACUAGGCCAGGGUGUGCAGCAGCAUUUGGAUUUACAUGCCCUCCACCAAAAUCAAAGGGUGAUGCAGGAGCUCGUGAUGAAUUCUUGAUUGGUUCUCCAAGAUUAUCGAAUGAGUAACCUGUUUUGUUUUGAAGUGUCAGUAACAAACACAGAUGUAUCACUUAGUUACCUGUUGUAACUAUGGCUGAUUUGAUUGCUGCUGGACUCCAGGCUGGACGAUAGGAUUUUAGUAGGGCGACAAUCCCAGUGACGUGAGGGCAAGACAUGGAGGUUCCAGAUGAAAAUUGGUAUGGUACUUCUGAGUUGUUGAAUUGAGUGUAUGCUGCUAGAAUAUUUACUCCUGGAGCUGUAAUAUCCGGCUGAAAGAACAAAAAUCUUCAAAAACUACCAAAACAAAUACACAGAAAACAUUGACAAACCUUGAGAAUGUCUGGAUCAAUGAAGUUGGGACCAGAGGAUGAAAAAGGUGCCAUGAAAGGAGCAGGCUUUUGAUUUCUCAAUGUUAUCUGAUGCUGUAUAUCCGCUAUAGGAUCUCUGCCAGACACAAAGGUAAAAAACCAGAAAGAAGAACGAAGAUUUUACCUUGUAGAUUUUAUAUAUGAAAAGAUGGCUUGUCCAACUUCUUCAUCAACAUGAACCGAAGGAAGAAAUUCAUCUGUAGGAUUUUGAUCGACUAGAGUGGAGUUGCAAAAGAUAAUCCCAGCUCCGCCAGCUCGAGAAACUUCGAAUGAUUGGAAUGCUGGAUGCAUCGGCCCUCUCAAGCAUGCCACAAUCUUUCCCCGGACUUUCUUGGGCUCCAAAGACUGGCUCAUACACAAUUGCCUGCAGCAUUAAUAUUUCUUUAACUCAAAUCUAUAGAUUGAUAUUUUACCUGGUUGAAAAGUUGGAAGUUGGCACAGCAAGAUGAUACCACCGCUUUUUUAAUCUUUGCUCCGUCAUACUUAAACCCCGAAAUGAUUUAUUGUUGCCAAGGUAAAGGUCUCCAAAAUAGGAUCGAUCAAGAGUGCUCGCUCCAACAGUGACGACCCAAGGAGCUACAUUUUUCACAGAGCCAGGGCCUUCUUCCCGCUCGUUUCCAGCGGAAGCCACCACCACAAUGCCUUUCUGCAUGGCAUGGAACGCUCCAAUGGACGUAGAAUCAAGGAAGUAAUCACCCGCUGAACGACCGAAAGAUGCAGAAAUGAUAUCCACGCCAUCGUGGAUUCCCAUAUCAAAUGCGCUGAGAACGUGAGAAUCCGGGCACCUUACACUGCCCUCCGUGAUGUUUCUCCAGCAUAUCUUGUAGAUUGCGAGACGUGAGUCCCUUUCGCAUAGCCAAACCAGUUUGCGUUUCUCACAAAUCGGCCUCCGGCAGUAGAAGCCACGUGAGUUCCAUGGCCUUGAACAUCUCUUGGGGAAAGAAGUUCUUGGUGUGCUUUUGCAUAGACCUCGGGACCAUCUUGCAGGCCGUGGGCCCUGAAAGAUCAAAAGUUGAAAACAUUUAAAUUCACUUAGAGUGUUGUUUCUUACUUGUUGCAGUGAGAAGCGUAAUUGCUCCCCAGUUUCGCAAGCCCCUUUCCAUCUUUUGGGGAUUGGUCCCAUGCCAUGAUCCAAAAAGCUUUCCGACUCUGGCCAUACUCCUGGGAAAACCAACAUUAGUCCAAGCCCUCUGCCAUGCUAGCAAAGUUGGCGGACCUUCUCCUGCCCACCAUGAAAACAAGAAGAUGAAAGAGAGAAAUACCUGAAUCCAAAACACCAAUGAUAACGUCCUUGCCAAAUUUUGAUUUCUUCCAUAACCACGAUGAUUCAAUAGCGUCACUAGCACCAAACAAGGAUUUCUCUCCACUUCCAUAGAGUCCCAGAAAUUCCGAUGAGUCUGUGGUGUGGACCGUGUGGAAUUCAUUGCGAAAGACGGACAAGACGUUUGGGAGGCCUGCAAUAUGGAUAAAGACUGACUUAGAUUAUGUAUAAUGUUUCUAUGAUGCGUUACCAGAGAGUUGAGCAGCUUGUUCUUCUGUUAAACGAGCCGAGAAGCCACUAAAUCCAUGCCUAUAGCUAAAACCCAGUGAUUCUCUGGCAGCUUUGACACUGGAAUACACGAAUUUGGAUGAAUUCAUAAUUUUUUUCUUCUGGAGUUUUACCUUCCUAGAACAUCCCCAAGGAGUGCGUGAUGGGAGCUUGUAACAGCGUCUGGAUGGAGGGAUUUAUCGACAUUCCCCAAAUAGACAAUGUGAGUGUCUCCUUGAUCUCGUCCCUAGAAAUAAAAUCAAACCAUGGGCUUUAAAAGAUUGUUUCGCGCGAGAUAAGAAAGGUAAAGACCUGAGAGAUGGAGAUGGCACUUAAACUUAGAAGAAAGUAUAAACAGAUUGAGAGCGCCAUGAACUUGAAGAAUUGUAUUUGAGAAUUGCAGGUAGAAGUUAUGAUUAUUUAUAUUGGAAACUGCUGAAUGUUUCAUGUGACGUGCAUCUCAGGCCGCCUUGUUUGAUUCUACAAUGAAAUACGACUUAUUCAGGAGAAUUUGUCGAUGUUAAAUUAUAUCACAAGAAUUUAGCAUCACUAGCUGACAGAUUAUAAUAGUUCUUUCUCAGCUUGAUUGAUUUCCAAGGACAAGGAGGGAGUGUUCUUCAUCCAGACGCUGUUAAUACUGGUUUGCAUCACAGCAGGCAUUCGAGAAAGAUGGCUAGAAUUUCUAAAAUUAAGAUUAUUUUUAUAUUGUAUAUUCUUUUUUAUUAUUUUAUAUAAGGUUUCAACCAAUGAAAUUUUUCCUUCAGUUCACGUGAAUGUACACAAUGAUGUUCUUUCAUCCCCAUGAUGCACUCUAAGCAUUCAAUAGCUUAAAGUUCUUCCUUCAAUUAACUCUGAAAUAGCUUCAGUUUAACUCCAUGAGAGGAGUCUUUGACUGUUUGUCUGCUAAAGCUGCAACUUUCAGUAUAAGCCCAAUUGCACAGCAUCUUUUUCGCAAUGUUUCUUGCCAUGGCAGGCAGACCAGACAAGGUGAAGCCCUAAACCAUUCCGGGCGAUGGCGCGGCUCCUGGAAAAGCUGGAUUUCUUCCACGAUCAUGCUGGCAGAUUUUCUUGUAGCCCUAACAAGUUUUCUUCUUUGCAUUUCAUCUGACGAGAUAUAAACUUUCUUCUCGACCAAACCCCAAGAAAGAGGGGUUGGCCUCUUUCGUCACUUUGUCUUUGGGUGUCGCUUGUCAGUCCUUUUCACGAAUCUUUUGGCAGCAUUGAUCCCGACGUCGUCAUAUCAUAUCUAAUCUCUUUGAUAUUCGCAUCGGUGUAUACUACUCGGGUUUGGAUAGCAAGCAAAGCAAAAAAGAUAUGGGGAGCGAUGCCAAGGAUCUCGUCAAGCACACCAAGCUCUUCAUCGGACACUGUCUCAGGUUGUAAUCUUUGCUUUUCUUGUGUUUUUGCGGUGAGAGUGAAAUGGUUUUGUGGAUCUUUUGCAGGCAAGACGGUCCCCACUUUCAAUCCCCAAACAAGUUCCCAUCCUGAAAAUUUCACAUGAUGCAUGAAAAUGGCAUUUUGAGAGACGGCCGCAGCCGAGUCCAGGUCGGCAUCCUCGCAGAUUAUAAACGGAGAUUUGCCGCCAAGCUCUAGUGUGACUUUAAGUUGCUUCUCGCAGCACUCUCCAUUAUCAUUCUUCCAAUUUCAGUGGAACCAGUAAAUGUCACCUCAGGAAAAAAAGAAGCUUUUCUUUUCAAUUGCAAGAUUUCCUACGCUCAUAUGCUUCGAAAUCGCGGCUCCUGCAGUGGUACCAUAACCAGGAAUAACAUUGAGGACUCCCGCGGGAAUCCCUGCCUAUAUUCGUGAAGAAAAAAUGACUUUUGUGUGCAAGUGUAGUGCAAGUUUUUCUCACCUCUUGAGAAAGACUGGCCAGGAGCAAAGGUGUCUGCUCGGCAACCUUGACAACGAUCGUAUUUCCACAAGUUAACGCAGACCCGACUUUGUUGAGAAACAUAUGAGCCGGGAAGUUCCACGGAACAAUCGCUCCAACCACACCAAUUGGCUCCAAAAGGGUGUAGCACAUCCGAGUAGAAUCAGUUCGCAAGGUCUUUCCAUUGAGCUUGUCAGCCCAGCCUGAGAAAAAAAAGCCACUCCACUGGUUCAGCAGUGUUUCGAAAGAACUCUUUAUUGAAAAUAUGCUUGUAGUACCUGCAUUGUAUCGCAGAGAGGCAGCCGAAGCCGCAAUUAUCACCAUGCUCAGAUCGAUCAACAUUCCGUUGUUGAGGGUCUCAAGAGUUGCCAGUUCGUCGAGAUGUUCCUCGAUCACAUCCGCGAACUUGUAAAGUAUCCUUCCUCUUUCCUACCAAACGAGCAUGAACAAAGACAAGAAGAAAGCAGGAAGAAGGAAAACUCACAGCAGCAGCAAGGCGUGGCCAGGGCCCGUGGUCAAAUGCUUCGCGCGCGGCUCUCACGGCCAGAUCCACAUCCGCCGCGUCUCCCUCGGCGACUUGAGCAAUACACUCCGAGUUGCUGAAAUGAUGACAUGUUUUCAGGGACAAGUCUGUGUUGCUGCAUCGCGAAUCUUUGUUCACGAAAGUAUUCAUGACGAGUUUAUCAAGAGGUCUGUCAAGCUGGCAAGUGAACGUGUAAUUGGAGAUCCUUUCAAAUCCGGAGUCCAAAAUGGUCCCCAAGUAAGAAAAUAUCCUCUCUUCAUCUUUCGGAUACUAGUCACGAGCUGUUUUAUCAGAUCAACCAGGAGCAGCUGGACAAAGUUAGUCGGGAAAAAAAGAAGGUGCCAGCCUUCUAGUGGGAGGCAAACGCAUCGGCGAGAAAGGAUUUUACAUCCAGCCAACAAUUUUUGGAGACGUCAAGGUUUGCUGUGUUAAAAUUCUCUUACUCGUUUUUCAAAACAUCCAGGACAUUUGUGUAGCAAUCCAUGAAGAUUGCCAACGAGGAAAUCUUUGGUCCCGUGGUUUCAGUGCUCAAGUUCAAGUAAGAAAAUUUUGUUUAUGCCUUGGUUUAUCUGAUGGUAAUAACUUCACUGAGUCAGGACUCUUGACGAAGCCGUGGAGCUUGCAAACAGCACACACUACGGUCUAGCAGCGGCGGUCUUCAGCAAGAACAUUGACACAGUCAACCUUCUGACCAGGUCGAUCAAAUCGGGCGUUGUCUACGUGAAUUCCUACCUGGGAGACGGACCAGCAGUACCGUUUGGAGGCUACAAGAUGAGUGGAAUUGGUCGAGAGAAUGGAUACAAAGGCUUGCUUCCAUAUCUCUAGCACAAGUCCAUUCUCAUGCCUAUGGAAAACUCUCCUUGGAAUUGACUCUUUCGUUUUUCUUGUUUCACUUGCGCUCUUUUACAAGAUGUGCUUCUUCACCCAACAAUCGGUCAAGGUAAGUUACUAGUUCAGGCUUCCUUGUUUCUUUUUUCUGAUUCUCAAUAUGUGUUUUCCAGAGACAAUGCAUAGCUUUGAUAACAGGAAUUGGUUCCAUGUCGUGUAUAACGAUAGGAACUUUGCAAGCUCAAACCGAAAAGGCACAUGGGGAUCUUUUUUGUCAAGUACAACAGGAUCACUGCUUUUCACAACAAGUUCCUAAGCGUCAACAGUGACAGGAAGUAAGCCUCUUUUAUUCUGGUUUACAGUGAUCUCGGAACAACAUCUUUUCCUUUUUUGUUUGUCUUUGCAGAUUUGAAGUGUCUAAGAUCCGGUUACGCCCAGGUUGUUGACGGUGGGGGUUGUUAAGGUGGUAUGCUUUCACCUUGAGCUCAGCAAAAGUAUCGGGUCGUCAGCGAGUCCGAGCGGAUCAGACGCACCUCCGGGGUAGAUCUUGUCCAGUCCCUCGCCGAGCGGUCCACCUCUCGACAGCUCCCAUGAGGAUAACUUGGCAGGCCCAGAUGGCAAGGAUGCUCUGUCCGUGGACGAGGUUGGAAUUUCCCAGGUAGUCGAGGCCACCUUCCUUGAAGAUCUGCGAGCUGCCCUUGAACCACAAACUUGAUGCUGUUCUUUUCGGGGGUGACGCAGCCGAGAGCUCUGAGCAUGGCCCACGUGGAUGACUCACGGUGCUUGUAGGUUUUUACCCGUAGACACUUGCCCACCAUAAAAUCCAGGUGAAAGUGCUCCAAGGUGACUCUCUGGCCAGGUGCCAAGAAGCGAGAGCCCAUGGCAAAGUGGUGGAGCCUCCUUGGUUGCCAUUACACUGACUGAACAGACUAUCCACUCAUGCACAAAUGGGUGAAGGUUAUUGCCAUUGCAUGCUGCAAGCCAAUCCUCAGCUAUGAACCUACUUUGUCCCUCACCAAAAACCUCAUUGUCUAUUGUUUGAGAUGUUGUCAGGACUAGAAGGUACUGUGGCCUCUCCAUCUUCUCUGUGGUGUUUGGAUAUGACAUGCUGGAAACCCUUUCAUAAAGUUGUGGACUCCAUGAAUAACACCUCAAACAACACCUUGUAAAUAGCUUCUUCUAGAGUGUAGUAGUAGCAUGUCCCCAACUCAACUACCUUUGAGAAUAUUUUUAUACACACAUCAAGUGCUACUCUCCUUUCUAAUGCUCGACAUCACUCCCAUUACAUAGAGUCAUGUGCUGGAACUGGGGGAGGGUGGGGUGUUGGAAUUGGUGGUGGUGCAUUCGGGAAUGCCUAGACCAUCAUCAAUUCUGGCUCUUGGGUGUACAAUACAACAUAGUUGUUCAUGUGAAAGUUGCGAUCAUGGCAAUAAAAUGACCAUGUAUCAUAAUUCCCAUCGCAAUAUAAAUCUAUUUCUAGCAAAAGAAUAUGAUGAGAUGCAAAUAAAGAGAACAAAACCAACAAAAUACUUGUGUCACCACAUAUAACUUUGAUAAGUCUCCUGGCCAUAUCAAACAUUUCUUGGUCCUAUGUUUAAUUCACACCUUAUGGGAAUCAGUUUGUAGGUUUGGUUUCAUAUCAAUACCUAGUGCCUAUGUUAUAAAAACAAUUGUUACUAUAUUUUGAUUGCCCCCAAAAUGUGUGUAUUGGUAUAGCAUUCAGUAUGGGGUUCUGCCACAUCAGUAUGACGUGUGAGAUUGCUAUAUCACCUCAACUUGCCACACAGGUACAUGUGAUGUCAUAUGAAAUAUAGCAAUGUUUUUUUUGUCUUUCGUACUACACUAAUUUCCUGUUUGGCCAAGAGCAAUAGCUUUCCCACAUUGAGCGCAACAUAGGCCCUUCAAAAGCAAGUUUCAAGAAGCAGUGGGCACAACAAGCAUAUAUUAAUUAGGAUUUGCAUGUAGGCAAUUCUUGAUCUUUUGUAUGUCGCAACAUAGGUGCUUAAAGAGCACACAUUGAUUAAAGUUUGGGUGAGAGCUUUUUGCAUGUAAAUGGCUGUGAUUCUCAUUCCUUUGUGUGUUAGGUGCAUUGUGCUGUCCUUAUGUAAUGUGGGUGUGGACUUGUGGUUAGCGUUGCACUAGAUUGUGGGUUAGAGAUUUUAUUUAUUUGCUCAAUUCCAUUGAGGUAAACUUUCUUUUAUUUAGCUUUUUUUUAUUGGCAUAAGCUUUAUGCUUAUUCUAGUGAAUGCAAUCACAAAGCAUUGGAACACUACACUUACAUGCAAUUAAAUGUUUGCAAUGAUUCUUUAUAAAUUUUUCAAUUCUCUCUAUAGUAGUUAUGUAAGUGUUUGCAGAACGUGGAAGGGGGCAUACAAAUGAUGCCCUUUACUUUUGUAAAUUGCUUGACCCAUAUGUGUAUAUGACUACACUCACGUGAACACACUUUUGCACUAAUCCCUUGCUAUUAAACUUUGAAAUGUAUAAUAAAUGAUAUGAACUUGUGUCUUAUGAAGAGCAUGAAUGAAGAUUGGGGGAUAACAAUGUUUGGAAAUCAACCAUGUAUGGUUGAGUUCAUGUGCAGGGAUAUUGGUAAGUGCAUGGCAUUAUAAAAUUUUAUUCAUUAAUGCACUUGGUUUUUUUUUCCAGGAGAAACAUUCAUGCUCUGAUGGGGUGAAUGUCACAAAUUUUCAAGUUCAAAAUGAACUCCUUACUUAUGUGCACAUGGCCUCAACAUUAAGGACUAUGUUAUAUUCUAUUCUCUAGGCCCAUGAAGCAUGCAUGUUUAGGGUUUUCAAUAGAGUCUUGUUUCUAUAAAUUGUGAAAAAAUCAAUUCCACUACAAAUCAUGAAGGAUUCUAUUGCAAUGAAAUGCCAGAGGAAGUUACACCAACAUUUUAAAAACACACAUUGGCUAGAGUUUUCGUUACUAUAGAUAGUGCAACAAUUACAUUUGAAGCAUAAGGAUUUAAUUUAAUAUAAUUGAAAUUCAUUUGCUUAACUUUUGUGAACUUUUGUAGUGGGGUAGUGGAGUCUAGAGCAAAAUUUUAUAUUUCACGACACGAGGAAUCUUGUGAGAUGCUAGAGGAUCUAGAACUCCCUCCAUGUGAGGAGGUGGAGGAGAUGCCUCUAUGCAAGGACCUAUAACACAAAAAGAUGGAAGAGGAAAUGUAAUGUGAUAAAUUGGAGGAAGUGCCUUCACAUAAAGAGGUACAAUAUAAGGAAAUAGAGGAUGUGAUUCCACGUGAGGUAGUAUAAUAUAAUGUUAUAAAAGAUGUGCUAAAAGGGGGAUGAAAGAAGUGCUUGUGUGGUGGUGAAGCCUACUCUAAUGGUGGAGCCUCCACCUCCACUUGCAUCAUGUUGUGUGGAGUGUCCAUUAUAACCUCAACUAUCUAAGAGCUUAGAACCUCCACCUUUCAUUACUCCUCUUUCACCAUUUUGCAUAAAGAUUCUUUUUCCAUCUCCUUACAUUGCACCUCUUGGUGCUCAAGGAUUCUUGCAAUGACAUAUAAAUUAUAUAGGUAGAGGUUGCACAUAAUGCUUCUUGCAAGCAUGAGGCUUUAUAUUGCCACUAAGAGUGUUAAAAAUGAACUUUAUGAAAAGGGUGUUUGAGUUUUAAUGUAUUUUGAUAUAGAGGAGAAGUAAUUUUCCCCACUCAUUUAAGUUGGGUGUUUCCUAUAAAGUGUGUUUUUCAUUAUCUUUCAAAGUUGUUUCUUUGAUGAUUUGCAAACUAGAUCAUGCAUUAAGGAGGAGUUGAUCUUCCCCAAGGCAGGGAGAAUGUUGCAAAUGUGAUUUUGGGUAUUGAAAAAUAUUUGUUAACUAGUCUUUAUGAACACUCUCUCUUUAUUAUUAUGAUAGUAGAAAGUUAGUACUGUUAGUUCCCUUUAUGGUCUCCACCUAAGUUAGUUAAGAAAUUGGUUAUUCCAUAUGUACUUGAUUAAAUGAGCAUAAGGACUAAAUUCCUAAAUAUUAUUAGUUAAUCAUACUUGACUUGGUUAAAGAAACUUAUUCAUUGGCUUGCACUUGUUAGUGUAAGGAACCCCCAUGAUAUUGAGUAUAAUCCCUCAAUAUUGUUACAUAAUAGUUUACUAUAUUUGCCAAACACUCUCGUUAUCAUACUUUAUAUGUUGGCUCCAUUCUUGAUCCAUAUGCUAUUUGUAGAAAGUGUCUAGAAGGCAUAUUUAUGGAAUGUAAAAAAUGUUUUGAACCCUAUGAUGUUGUUACCACCCAAUUUGCCAUCUAGUGCCAUUCUAUAUUUAAUAGGUUUCAAGUUUGUCUUAGUGGUUAACUUUUGAGACUAAGAUGAAAGCCCAAAGCAUGUGUUUCUUAGGGGAGGGGGAGAGCUAUAGGGAGUUCUAAAUGUAUGGAUAAUAGUUCAAUUGAAUGGUUAACUACUUAAAAUAUUAGUUUGGCUUUUGCUAGGCUAUAUCACUCUUUGUUUUGCAUCCAAAUUAGGUCUAAGCCUAAACUUAUUGCUCUAGUUGGUGUCUUCCUUGCGUUAGACCACUAGUAUGCUAAAAUUAUACCAAAUACCAUUUAACACCAUUUUGUAUAUAAGAGUUAGAUAUAGGGAGUUGGUGCUUGUAGGGGAUAUUGAGUGUAUAUUACACCUUUGUUUCAUAAUGCCCUUAGAGUUUAACUUCAAAUUCAAAUGUGCUAUAGAAGUGAUAGAGUAUAAAGAACACUUUUGAGAAACCAAAAGAGAAUUUACAAAUCCCUUUAACAAGAUGCUUAGAAUAUCACCAAGAAAAGGACAAAUCAUAACUAAAAUAACUUGAUAAUCAUGAAAUUUAGAGUGCUCAACCAUAUGUUAUGUGGCACUAGAGUCAAUAAUAAUAGUAAAAAGAAGAAUAAAUAGUUAGCAAAGCACUAUUAGUAUAAGUAUGAUCAUGUUGAAAAUCUUCUGUUAAAAAAAAGUAGGAGAGGAUGAGUCAUUGUCAAUAGUAUAUAUUUGUUGUUGUUGUCCAUUAGUACUGGUACCAAUAUAAGCUUAAGGAAGUUGUUAUAGACAAAGAAUAACAUGAGAAACUAAAUGAGUAUAAUUUAGAUGCUGGCAACAAAAUUAGGAAAUACAUCUAGAAUGAUGACAAAACCCAAAAGGUUGACAAUAAAACUGGCUAUAUAAUUAAAUUGACCACAAUUAUAACAAACACUAUUGGAAUGACCAUAAGAACAAAAUGAAUCUUAUGGAAAAUAAAACCAUUUAUUUGAAACAUAAGCACCAAUAGAUGGUGACCAAGAGUAAAGUGCUAGAGUAGGAGUGUUGGAGGAAGUAUAUUAAGAAAAGCAACAAUUUUAGUCACGAACUGCAACCUCAAAAAUACACUAAUCAUUCAUCAUAUAAUGUUGAAUAUUCUAAAGGAAAAGUAAAGUAAGAAAUCCUCUAGGGUGCUCAAAAGAUCCUUAAAACAUUAAAUAUGCUAGCCAAAUGGUUUCGCUUUUGUGGCAACAUUUGGUUUUCUAUACAUAGUACCCUAAAUGCAGCUAAAUUAGAGAAAGACUUUGGUUGUGAAGGAAGUGUUUCCUCUAUGUUAAUCAAUAGAAAAUAUAAUGUACAUAUGUUCUCAUGUACCACCUAAGGUUAAUUUUGCCACAUAAAGUAUCUAGAAGAAAAUUUAUUGAGAAAUUUUGUUAAUUAAUAAUGUUUUACAUUUGAUUUUCAAACUAAAGACAAGCUAAAAGACUUUGCUCUAUUCAUGAGAGGGGAUUAAGAAGUUGUCUAGGAAUUAAUUUCUACAUCAACUAUACAAAUUGUGAAAGAUUUUUUGUUACCAUUGCUAAGUCUUUUUAUUCUUCUUUGUGAUAAUUCAGUAAAUUUCCACUUGAUUAUCAUUUACUUUCUUGGUGCUAUCUCUCUUGUUUAAGUUCUACACACUCCAUCGAAAAGAUGGAGUAGUUGAGAGGCAUGACCAAUUGCUCUGGCUACCACCAAUGGAUAAGCCUAUGCAGAUGUGGGGCUUGGCCGAGGCAUAUAGCUUGUUGGCUCCCCAUCACUUGCUGAGUUGCUGAUCACUCUCCAUGCACUAGCUUGCUGGUGGCGAGCUAGAUGUUGAUGCCAGUUGUUGUGGAGAGGACACUGGCGAGGGAAGAACGCAGAGACCAUCUGUAGAAUGGAUCAAACUCGUUGACAAAGCUGUACACUUCGGGGCAUGCAAAACCCUCCUUGCUGUUGCAAGCAGAAGCAGUGGGAAGACCAUAUUUGACAAGGAGGAGGAUUCUUGCUUGUGAGAGUGGUGAAGCUGAGAAUGUCUGGAUCAACCGAGUUGGGACCGCCAUGGAAGGAGCAGGUUUUCGGUUUCUCAGGAUCUCUGCCAGACACAAAGCUAAGAAACAGAAAGGAAGAAAGGAAGAAAUGACACUUUUACCUUGUAGAUUUGAUAUAUGAAAAGAUGGCUUGUCCAACUCUUUCAUCAACAUGAACUGAAGAAAGAAUCUCAUUUCCAGGAUCUUCAGUGGAGUUGCAAACGAUAAUCCCAGCUCCAUCAGCUUGAGAAACUUCGCGUAAUGGAACAUGUGGCCGUCUCAAGCAUGCCACAAUCUUUCCCCGGACUUCCUUGGGAUCCAAAGACCCGCUCAUACACUGCCUGCAUCAUUAAUAAUUUCAAAUGAACUCAAAUCAAAGAUGAGUUAUUUUACCUGGCUGGAAAGUUGGAAGUUUGUAAGGCAACAUCGGCACCCGCAGCAAGAUGAUACCACCGUUUUGACAAUCUUUGCCUCGUAAAACUAGAACCCUGAAUCAAAAAAAAGUGAGAUGUAUAAUAGACUAUACGCUCUGUACUUACUCAAAACGAUUCAUUGUUGCCAAGGAAAAGAUCUGCAAAGUAGGCUCAAUCAAGAGUGCUCGCUCCAACAGUAAUGAUCCAGGGGACUACAUUUCCCACCGAACCCGGCCCUUCAUUUCCAGCGGAAGCCACCACCACAAUGCCUUUCUGCAUGGCAUGGAACGCUCCAAUGGACGUAGAAUCAAGGAAGUAAUCACCCGCUGACCCACCUAAAGAUGCAGAAAUGAUAUCCACGCCAUCGUGGAUUCCCAUAUCAAAUGCGCUGAGAAUGUGACCGUACGGUGCUGGCCGUGACGUUUCUCCAGCAUAUCUUGUAGAUUGCGAGACAUGAGUCUGGAGCUCCACCUUUUGCAGUGCCUUUUGCGUAGCCAAACCAGUUUGCGUUUCUCACAAAUAGGCCUCCGGCAGUGGAAGCCACGUGAGUCAACAUCUCUUGGAGAAAGAACUUCUUGGUUUGCUUUUGCAUAAGCCUCGGGACCAGGCCACGAGAGAAGAAUCUGGCACCUAUAAGUUUCAUGAAAGACCAAAAGUUGAACAAAUUUAGAUUAACGAGAGUCUUGCUUUUACUUGUUGCAGUGAGAAGAGUGGAAUUGCUCCCCAGUUUCGCAAGUUCCUUUCCAUCUUUCGGAAAACCUUUCUGACUCUGGCCAUACUCCUGGAGAAGACCAGUAAAAAGAAGAAAAUGAUGGAAAAAGGACCUCUCCUCCAUGCGAUCAAAAACGUUCUUUGCCUUCUCCAUCUCCCCAUUCUGUGCAUACCCCGAAAGCAUCGCAUUCGAGGACACCAAGAUGUGAUCAUUCAUAUUGGAGGAGGCGCUGUCCGUGUGUUUUUAUUUUGGAAUAGGGUACAUUGAGGAAAUUUAAGAAGCAAGAAACAUUCAUACAACGAAUUUUCGCUCCAGUGAAGCUGCAACAUUGAGCUACGAACAUUGUAAACUUGACGAUUUUCUUCUUUUACCUUGUUGGCCUCGCCAGUUUUGACCACAAACUCUUUUAUGAGCUAAGCCAAUCUUCACCUCUUGAAUGCGUUGCUGAAGGAGCCUCAGCCCCGUCUGUCCAUUCGUGUACACCUUCCUCAUCUCAGCAUACGCAUUCCGAGUAUCAGAAGGAAGCCUUUGCUUUGCACUGAAGCCGCUCCUAACAUUCCCAUCGAAGUAGCUGCUAGCAAAGCUUCGCGCCUGGGACCUGUGAACGUCUCUUGGGGACCCCAGAGAAACGCCUCCACCUCGGGAUGACCCGGAAGCGUUGCCAGAGGUUGACACCACCUGUGUGGAUCCGGCUUCUGCACGUUCGAGAGCUCCUUGAUCCUCUCCUGGGCUAUGUCGCAAAGAGCACACUUCCCUUUGAUCGAUACCAGAUGCCUCCAUCCCGGAAAACUUUCGCCUCAAAGUCCUUGAGCUUCUGGCUCUUGAGAUUGAGUAUGAAGCUCUGGCGUCGUCCAGCCAUAAAAACACGUUCAAGUUGCUUGCGAGCUCUGCCACCUUCAGGUCUCUGGUUGUGACCACCCUGCAAAGCUUCGGAUAGAGGUACGUAUUGUUCUUCCAACGGACGUGUUGAGCAGCGUCUUGCUUCCAGAGGUUGAUGAGCAGCUUGCAAAGAUCUCCCAUUCCAGCUUUCUACUCGACGAAGGAUGGAAUUUGGUCGUGCAGCCUCAGAGCGAAGAGCAUCUCAGCUAUCGAGAUUACACGAACUGGUCUAGCUCCGGAGAAGCUUCAAAACGAGAUCUCUCGGGGCAUCCCAUCCCAGAAACUUGGGGGCUUAGCAACCACCUUUGCAACCUUAACAGACUUGAUCCCUUCAAGAGAUAUGUGAUUGUGGGAGCUUCUUUCCUGUCCCAGCACCCCGAUCAGCCGAUAAACUUAGUUGGAAUCACCUGCGUCAAGGCAAAGCUUGAUCAAGUGGCAAAAGUUCCCAUUCUUCCUGUAGUGAUCGUAGGGUGUUUUGGCAGAAAUGCAAGAGCAUUGAGCUUGUUUUGCUGGGCAGAACUUGAAGGAGCUCUGGACAUGGUGUAGUGGAGGGAGCUUUGGACUUCUCAACUUACCUCAUAUAUUUAGUUAAGUACUAGAUUGCAAAUAGGGGGUUAUUGUGGGGGGUUCUAAAUGUAUAGUAUGAAUAGUAAUUGAAUUGCAUAAUUAAUCAUUUAAAACAUUAAUUUGGCUUUCAUUAGACUAUAUUGUUCUUUGUUUUGCAUUUGGCUUAGGUUUAAAUUCAAACUUUAUGCUCCUUUAGUCAAUGGGGUACUUUCUUCCUUCAUGUUAGACUAUUAGUAUGUUGAAAUUGUGCCAAACACUAUUUAACAUUGUUUUGCAUAUAAUAGUUAGUGUUCAUAAGGGAUAUUAAAUGUGUAUUGGCCCCUCAUUUCAUAUCACAAUGACCUUGGAGUUUGGCUCCAAAUUCAAGUGUAUUAUAAAAGUAAUAAAAUAUAAAGAACAUAUUUGAGAAACCAAAGGAGAAUUUGCAAACCCCUUCAACAAAAUUCUUAAAAUUAUCACUAAGAAAACAAAAUCAUAACCAAAAUAACUUGAUAAUCCUGAAAUUUAUAGUGCUCAACCAUAUGUUAUGUGGCACUAGAGUCAAUAAUAAUAGUACAAAAAAGAACAAAUAUUUAGUAAAGCACCAUUAGUAUAAGCAUGAUUAUGUUGAAAAUCCUUUCUUUGAAAUAAAAUAGGAGAGGAUGAGUCAUUGUCAAUAGUAUAUAUUUGAUGUUGUUGUUCAUUAGGACUAGUAGUAAUAUAAACUUAAAGAAAUUUUUAUAAACAAAGAAUAACAUGAGAAACUAAAGGAUGCUAACAACAAAAUUGGGAAAUACAUCUAGAAUGAUGACAAAACCCACAAGGUUGAUAAUAAAAUUGGCUAUAUGACCAAAUUGACCACAAUAAUAGCAACCACUAUUGGAAUGACUAUAAGAACAAGAUGAAUCUUGUGGAAAUAAAACCACACUUAUUUGAAACAUGAGCACCAAUAGAUGGUGACUGAGAGUAAAGUGCUAAAGUAGGAGUGUUGAAGGAAGUAUACUAAAAAAACGUGUACUUUUAAGGUUGUAGUUUGUGACUAGAAUUGUCUAAUCAUUCAUCAUACAAUGGUAGAAUAUUCUGAAGGAAAAGUGUCCAAAAAUUAAAAUAAGUAACCCUCUAGGGUAUAAGGAAUGCUCAUUUGCUCAAAAAGAUCCUUAAAACAUCAAAUAUGCUAGCCAAAUGGUUUUGCUUUUGUGGCAACAUUUGGUCUUCUAUAAAUGAUACUCUCAAUACAGCUAAAUUAAAAAAAGAUUUUGGUUGUGAAGGAAGUGUCUCCUCUAUGUUAGUUAAUAGAAAAUAUAAUGCAUAAAAGGUUAAUUUUGCAAUAUAAGCAAAAUAUCUAGAAGAAAGUUUAUUGAGAAAUAUUGUUAAAUAGUAAUGUUUUACAUUUGAUUUUUAAGCCAAGACAAGCUAAAAGACUUUGCUCUAUUCAUGUAGAGGGGAUUGAGAAGUUGUCUAAGAAUCUUAAUUUCUAAAAUUUGUUACCUAAAUUUCCAUUUGAUUAAGAGGCUUCCAGAAUCCACCCGUAUCACAGUCCCACAAUGAAUACCUUUGUAUGGUCCAAUAUAUACAAUUUCAAAUUUAAGGGUAAGAAUAUAUUUUACUUAAGGGUAUAUUAUAUUUUUAAGUAGCCACUAAUCAAUGGGAAUCGAACCCAUGCCAUUUGCUCUGAUACUAGAUGUAGCAAAUCUUAUCUCUCCCCUUAAGCCAAGGGGAAAAAGUUUAAUUGUUUGAUGAGAGAACUUUUAAUGGUUAUUUUAUUCCCAUUUAUCACCACAGUGACAGUAUAUUUAAAUUUCAUCCCAUGAUCACAUAUGUUACAAUCUCUCUUAUUUAAGUUCUACACACUCCAUAAAAAAGAUGGGAGCAGUCAAGAGGCAUGACCAAUUGCUUUGGCUACCACCAAUGGAUAAGCUUAUGCAUGUGUGGGGCUCAGCCAAGGCAUAUAGCUUGUUGGCUCCCCCAUCACUUACUGAGUUGUUGAUCAUUCUCCAUGCACUAGUUUGCUGGUGGGUGGAAUUGGCGAGCUAAAUAUCAAUGCUAGUUGCCCUGGUGAGGACACUGGCAAGGGAGAUCAUGCGUCCAAUGAAGAGCUUGGUGUGCUUGACAAGAUCCUUGGCAUCGCUCCCCAUAUCUUUUUUGCUUUGCUUGCUAUCCAAACCUGAGUAGUAUACGCCGAUGUGAAUAUCAAAGAGAUUAGAUAUGAUAUGAUGUCGACAUCGGGAUCAAUGCUGCCAAAAGAUUCAUGAAAAGGACUGACAAGCGACACCCAAAGACAAAGUGACGAAAGAGGCCAACCCCUCUUUCUUGGGGUUUGGUCGAGAAGAAAGUUUAUAUCUCGUCAGAUGAAAUGCAAAGAAGAAAACUUGUUAGGGCUACAAGAAAAUCUGCCAGCAUGAUCGUGGAAGAAAUCCAGCUUUUCCAGGAGCCGCGCCAUCGCCCGGAAUGGUUUAGGGCUUCACCUUGUCUGGUCUGCCUGCCAUGGCAAGAAACAUUGCGAAAAAGAUGCUGUGCAAUUGGGCUUAUACUGAAAGUUGCAGCUUUAGCAGACAAACAGUCAAAGACUCCUCUCAUGGAGUUAAACUGAAGCUAUUUCAGAGUUAAUUGAAGGAAGAACUUCAAGCUAUUGAAUGCUUAGAGUGCAUCUUGGGGAUGAAAAAACAUCAUUGUGUACAUUCACGUGAACUGAAGGAAAAAUUUCACUGGUUGAAACCUUAUAUAAAAUAAUAAAAAAGAAUAUACAAUAUAAAAAUAAUCUUAAUUUUAGAAAUUCUAGCCAUCUUUCUCGAAUGCCUGCUGUGAUGCAAACCAGUAUUAACAGCGUCUGGAUGAAGAACACUCCCUCCUUGUCCUUGGAAAUCAAUCAAGCUGAGAAAGAACUAUUAUAAUCUGUCAGCUAGUGAUGCUAAAUUCUCGUGAUAUAAUUUAACAUCGACAAAUUCUCCUGAAUAAGUCGUAUUUCAUUGUAGAAUCAAACAAGGCGGCCUGAGAUGCACGUCACAUGAAACAUUCAGCAGUUUCCAAUAUAAAUAAUCAUAACUUCUACCUGCAAUUCUCAAAUACAAUUCUUCAAGUUCAUGGCGCUCUCAAUCUGUUUAUACUUUCUUCUAAGUUUAAGUGCCAUCUCCAUCUCUCAGGUCUUUACCUUUCUUAUCUCGCGCGAAACAAUCUUUUAAAGCCCAUGGUUUGAUUUUAUUUCUAGGGACGAGAUCAAGGAGACACUCACAUUGUCUAUUUGGGGAAUGUCGAUAAAUCCCUCCAUCCAGACGCUGUUACAAGCUCCCAUCACGCACUCCUUGGGGAUGUUCUAGGAAGGUAAAACUCCAGAAGAAAAAAAUUAUGAAUUCAUCCAAAUUCGUGUAUUCCAGUGUCAAAGCUGCCAGAGAAUCACUGGGUUUUAGCUAUAGGCAUGGAUUUAGUGGCUUCUCGGCUCGUUUAACAGAAGAACAAGCUGCUCAACUCUCUGGUAACGCAUCAUAGAAACAUUAUACAUAAUCUAAGUCAGUCUUUAUCCAUAUUGCAGGCCUCCCAAACGUCUUGUCCGUCUUUCGCAAUGAAUUCCACACGGUCCACACCACAGACUCAUCGGAAUUUCUGGGACUCUAUGGAAGUGGAGAGAAAUCCUUGUUUGGUGCUAGUGACGCUAUUGAAUCAUCGUGGUUAUGGAAGAAAUCAAAAUUUGGCAAGGACGUUAUCAUUGGUGUUUUGGAUUCAGGUAUUUCUCUCUUUCAUCUUCUUGUUUUCAUGGUGGGCAGGAGAAGGUCCGCCAACUUUGCUAGCAUGGCAGAGGGCUUGGACUAAUGUUGGUUUUCCCAGGAGUAUGGCCAGAGUCGGAAAGCUUUUUGGAUCAUGGCAUGGGACCAAUCCCCAAAAGAUGGAAAGGGGCUUGCGAAACUGGGGAGCAAUUACGCUUCUCACUGCAACAAGUAAGAAACAACACUCUAAGUGAAUUUAAAUGUUUUCAACUUUUGAUCUUUCAGGGCCCACGGCCUGCAAGAGGGUCCCGAGGUCUAUGCAAAAGCACACCAAGAACUUCUUUCCCCAAGAGAUGUUCAAGGCCAUGGAACUCACGUGGCUUCUACUGCCGGAGGCCGAUUUGUGAGAAACGCAAACUGGUUUGGCUAUGCGAAAGGGACUCACGUCUCGCAAUCUACAAGAUAUGCUGGAGAAACAUCACGGAGGGCAGUGUAAGGUGCCCGGAUUCUCACGUUCUCAGCGCAUUUGAUAUGGGAAUCCACGAUGGCGUGGAUAUCAUUUCUGCAUCUUUCGGUCGUUCAGCGGGUGAUUACUUCCUUGAUUCUACGUCCAUUGGAGCGUUCCAUGCCAUGCAGAAAGGCAUUGUGGUGGUAGCUUCUGCUGGAAACGAGCAGCAAACUGUAGGUCCUGGCUCUGUGAAAAAUGUAGCUCCUUGGGUCAUCACUGUUGGAGCGAGCACUCUUGAUCGAUCCUAUUUUGGAGACCUUUACCUUGGCAACAAUAAAUCAUUUCGGGGUUUAAGUAUGACGGAGCAAAGAUUAAAAAAGCGGUGGUAUCAUCUUGCUGUGCCAACUUCCAACUUUUCAACCAGGUAAAAUAUCAAUCUAUAGAUUUGAGUUAAAGAAAUAUUAAUGCUGCAGGCAAUUGUGUAUGAGCCAGUCUUUGGAGCCCAAGAAAGUCCGGGGAAAGAUUGUGGCAUGCUUGAGAGGGCCGAUGCAUCCAGCAUUCCAAUCAUUCGAAGUUUCUCGAGCUGGCGGAGCUGGGAUUAUCAUUUGCAACUCCACUCUAGUCGAUCAAAAUCCUAGAAAGGAAUUUCUUCCCUCGGUUCAUGUCGAUGAAGAAGUUGGACAAGCCAUCUUUUCAUAUAUCAAAUCUACAAGGUAAAAUCUUCGUUCUUCUUUCUGUUUCUUACCUUUGUAUGCCUGGCAGAAAUCCUGUAGCGGAUAUACAGCAUCAGAUAUCAUUGAGAAAUCAAAAGCCUGCUCCUUUCAUGGCACCUACUUCAUCCUCUGGUCCCAACUUCAUUGAUCCAGACAUUCUCAAGGUUUGUCAAUGUUUUCUGUCUAGUUUGUUUUGGUAGUUUUUGAAGAUUUUUGUUCUUUCAGCCGGGUUUUUGAAGAUUUUUGUUCUUUCAGCCGGAUAUUACAGCUCCAGGAGUAUACAUUCUAGCAGCAUACACUCAAUUCAACAACUCGGAAGUACCAUACCAAUUUUCAUCUGGAACCUCCAUGUCUUGCCCUCACGUCACUGGGAUUGUCGCCCUACUAAAAUCCUGUCGUCCAGCCUGGAGUCCAGCAGCAAUCAAAUCAACCAUAGUAACAACAGGUAAUGCGUCUUACAGAAGAACAAGCUUCUAACUCUCUGUUAACGCUCAUAGAAAUAAAAAUGUAAGUCAAUCUCUCCUCACGGCCUCCCAAACGUGUUGUCCGUCUUAUCCACACGGUCCACACCACAACCUCAUGGGAGUUUCUCGGCAUCUAUGGAAAUGGAUAGAAAUCCUCGUAUAGUGAAGCUUGGUUAUGGGGAAAAGCAAAUUUUGGUAAAGACAUAUCAUGGCAUGGGACCAAUGCCCGAAAGAUGGAAAGGAACUUGCGAAACUGGGGAGCAAUUCCACUCUUCUAACUGCAACAAGUAAAAGCAAGACUCACGUGAAUCUAAAUUUGUUCAACUUUUGAUCUUUCAGGAAACUUAUAGGUGCCAGAUUCUUCUCUCGUGGCCUACAGGAUGGUCCUGAGGCUUAUGCAAAGGCAAACCAAGAAGUUCUUUCUCAAAGAGAUAUUGUCGGCCAUGGAACUCACGUGGCUUCCACUGCCGGAGCCCAAUUUGUGAGAAACACAAACUGGUUUGACUAUGCGAAAGGCACUGCAAAAGGUGGAGCUCCAGACCAUGUCUUGCAAUCUACAAGAUAUGCUGGAGAAACGUCACGGCCAGCACCAGACGGUGUGAAGACGCUCACAUUCUCAGCGCAUUUGAUAUGGGAAUCCACCACGGCGUGGAUAUCAUUUCUGCAUCUUUAGGUGGUUCAGCGGGUGAUUACUUCCUUGAUUCUACGUCCAUUGGAGCGUUCCAUGCCAUGCAGAAAGGCAUUGUGGUGGUGGCUUGAAGGGCCGGGCUCGGUGGGAAAUGUAGCCCCCUGGCUCAUUACUGUUGGAGCGAGCACUCUUGAUCGAGCCUACUUUGCAGAUCUUUUCCUUGGCAACAAUGAAUCGUUUCGAGUAAGUAUAGGGCGUAUAGUCUAUUAUACAUCUUCAGGGUUCUAGGUUUACGAGGCAAAGAUUGUCAAAACGGAGGUAUCAUCUUGCUGCGAAUGCCAAUGUUGGCUUGAGCUUUCCAGCCAGGUAAAAUAAUUAAUCUUUGAUUUAAGUUCAUUUGAAAUUAUUAAUGAUGCAGGCAAAUGUGUAUGAGCGGGUCUUUGGAUUCCAAAGAAGUCCAGGGAAAGAUUGUGGCAUGCUUGAGAGGGCCAAUGCAUCCACUUAUGCGAAGUUUCUCGAGCUGGUGGAGCUGGGAUUAUUGUUUGAAGCUCCACUGAAGAUCCUGGAAAUGAGAUUCUUUCUUCAGUUCAUGUUGAUGAAAGAGUUGGAUAAGCCAUCUUUUCAUAUAUCAAUUCUACAAGGUAAAAGCGUUAUUUUCUUCCUUUCUUCCUUUCUGUUUCUUAGCUUUGUGUUUGGCAGAGAUCUUAUAGUGGAUAUACAGCAUCAGAUAACUUUGAGAAACCGAAAACCUGCUCCUUCCAUGGCACCCUUUUCAUCCUUUGGUCCCAACUCAGUUGAUCCAGACAUUCUCAAUGUUUUAUUGUUUUUUUUUUUCUUUCUUUUGGUAGUUUUUGAUCUUUCAGCCCAAUUGACAACCAUAUGACUUGUUCCAUCUCACGGUGAUCCUAGUUUUGAGUUUGUAUGUGUGGUAAGAACCAUCAUGGAUUAGGUAGAGAAUGCAAACUCUGCAAUUAACUUCACCACUCUCACAAGCAAGAAUCCUCCUCGUCAAAUAUGGUCUUCCCACUGCUUUUGCCUGCAACAGUUGCAUGCCCCGAAGUGAACAGCUUUGUCAAGGAAUUUGAUCCAUUCUACAGAUGGUCUCCCCCGCCAAUGUCCUCACCACGGCAACUGGCAUUGACAUUUAGCUUGCCAAUUCCACCUAUGAGCAAGCUAGUGCAUCGAAAGUGAUCAACAACUCAAGAAGUGAUGGGGGAGACAACAAGUUGUAUGCCUUGGCCGAACCCCACAUCUGCAUAGGCUUAUCCAUUGGUGGUAGCUAGAGCAAUUGGUCAUGCCUCUUGACUACUCCCAUCUUUUUGAUGGAGUGUGUAGAACGUAAACAAGAGAGAUCGCACCAAGAAAGUAAAUGACCUAGAAUUAAGUGGAAUUCUCAGAGGUAACAAUUUUUUAUUCACAAUUUUUAAAAUUUAAUGUAGAAAUUAAGAUUCCUAGACAACUUCUCAAUCCCCUCUACAUGAAUAGAGCAAAGUCUUUUAGCUUGUCUUUGGCUUGAAAAUCAAAUGUAAAACUUUACUAAUUAACAAUAUUUCUUAAUACAUUUUCUUCUAGAUACUUUAUUUAUGUGCCAAAAUUAACCUUAGGUAACAUAUUUUCUAUUGAUUAACAUAGAGGAAACACUUCCUUCACCACCAAAGUCUUUUUCUAAUUUAUUUGUAUUGAGGGUACCAUCUAUAGAAGACCAAAUGUUGCCACCAAAGCAAAAUGAUUUGGUUAGCAUAUUUAAUAUUUUAAGAAUCUUUUUGUGCAAAUAAGCAUUACUUAUAUCCUAGAAGAUUGCUUACUUUAGUUUUUGGACACUUUUCCUUCAGAAUAUUCUACCAUCGUAUGAUGAAUGAUUAGUGUACUUUUGAGGUUGUAGUUUGUGACUAGAAUUAUUGUUUCUUUUUAGUGUACUUCCUUCAACACUCCUACUCUAGCACUUUACUCUUGGUCACCAUCUAUUAGUGCUUAUGUUUCAAAGAAGUGUGGUUUUAUUUCCACAAGAUUCAUUUUGUUUUUAUAAUCAUUCCGAUAGUGGUUGUUAUAAUUGUAGUCAAUUUGGUCAUAUAGCUAGUUUUAUUAUCAACCUUGUGGGUUUUGUCAUCAUUCUAUAUGUAUUUCCCAAUUUUGUUGUCAGCAUCCAAAUCAUACUUAUUUAGUUUCUCAUUUUGUUUAUAAAACUUCUUUAAACUUAUAUUGCUACUAGUUUUAAUAGACAACAACAUCAAAUAUAUACUAUUGACAAUGAUUCAUCCCCUAAUAUUUUAUUUUGAAUAAAGGAUUUUCAAUAUGAUUAUACUUAUACUAAUGGUGCUUUACUAACUAUUUGUUCUUCAAUUUACUAUUAUUAUUGACUCUAGUGCCACAUAACAUAUAGUUGAGCACUCUAAAUUUCAUGAUUAUCAAGUUAUUUUAGUUAUGAUUUAUUAUUUUCUUGGUGAUAAUUCUAAGAAUUUUGUCAAAGGUGUUUGCAAAUUCUUCUUUGGUUUCUCAAAGGUGUUCUUCAUAUUCUAUUACUUCUAUAACAUACAUGAAUUUGGAGUUGAACUCCAAGGCCAUUGGUGAAAUCGCGAAAUGGUUGGCUCAGUUGAGUAUUUGGUUGCCAGUCAGAUUACAAGUCCGACAAGAAUAGAAAGAGAGGCUACACGAUUGGCCGGUCGUACAACUCCUCGAUCCACACUAAGAACUUGGCCAUCUGUUAUGAAACAAGGGGUUAGUAUGCACUUAAUAUCCCCUAUGAGCACUAACUCCUGCAUGCAAAAUAAUGUUUGACACAAUUUUGACAUAUUAGUGGCCUAACACGAAGAGAAAGGUACCCCACCAAUUAAAGAAGCAUUGAGUUUUGGCUUAAACCCAAGUCAAAUGUAGAACAAGGAGCAAUAUAGUGUAAUGGAAGCUAAAGUAAUGUUUUAGGUGGUCAACCAUGCAAUUCAACUAUUAUCCAUAUUAUACAUUUGGAACCCCCCUCUAAGCUUUCACCUUAGUCCUAAGAGUUAGUCUCUUAAACAAGCUUAAAACUUACUAAAUAUGGAAUGAUGCUAAAUGGUGAAUGAACAACAUCAUAGGGUUCAAAAACACUCUUUGCAUUCCGUAAAUAUGCUUUCUAGAUACUUUCUAGAAAUAGUAUAAGGAUCUAGAACAGAACCAACACAUAAGGCAUAAUAAUGAGUAAGAUAUUAUAUAGUAAUAUUGAGGGACCAUACCCAAUAUCGUGGGGGUUCUUAACACUAGUAAGCAAACGAAUGAAUUUCUUGUAAGCUCUUGAGUUUGGACUUCCCAAGAGAUUAUCUAACACAGUAUUACUCAAACUCAAAGGACACUUAACCCUAAAUAUCUUAAGACUUUUAAUUGAUUAGCAAAGAAUUCUUAUUCAUGGGCCCUUUCUUUCUAUAUUUAAACCCUAUGGAUCAUCUCUCAAAUAGUUCUCUUUUGUUGCUUACAUUUCUUUAAUUAGUAUACUUGACUAAUAAGAUUUAGGAAUUCCAUCUUUAUACUCAUUUAGUCAAGUGCACACACAAUAAGACCACAAAAUGAACCAAUAGUAUCAACUUUCUACCAUUAUGAUAGUAAGGAGAGAGUGUUCACAAAGAGUAACCGACAAGUAUCUUUCGAUAUCUAAAAUCACAUUUGCAACACUGUCCCCACAUUGGGAAAGAUCAAUGUCCUUAUCAAUGCAUAUCCCAGUUUGCAAAAAAAACAACUCUAAAAAAUAACAAAAAACACAUAACUUAAAUAAGUGGGGAAAAUUACCUCUCCUCUAUAUUAAAAGAUGCUAAAACUCAAACACCCUUUUCAUAAAAUUCAUUUUUAGCACUCUUAAUUGCAACAUAAAGCCUCAUGCUUGGCAGAAGCAUUCUAUGCAACUUCUAUCUAUAUAAUCUAAAUGUCAUCAUAAGAAUCCUUGAGCACCUCAUAUAAAGUGUUGAAGUAUGAGUUUAGACCUUCCACCUUUACUAUCAGGGCUUUCACCUCCACCUACACCAUGUCGUGUAGAGUGUCCACUAUAGCCUCAACCACUUGUGAGCUUGGAGCCUCCACUACGUCACAUGGAACUUAGUCAUUGAUGAGUUUGUAUUACAUAUGAAACUCCUUUUUCACCAUUUUAUAUGAAGACUCUUCUUCCUCCUUAUGUCACACCUCCUUCUCCAUCUCCUCAUGUGAAAGCACUUUUUUCAUCUACCCAUGUUACACCUCCUCACAUAGAGGCACAUCCUCUAUUUCGUUACAUUGCAUCUCCUCAUGUGGAAUCACAUCUUCCAUUUCUUUAUAUUACACCUCCUCGUGUGAAAGUACCUCUUCCAUUUUGUCAUGUUACACCUCCUCCUCCAUCUCUUUGUGUUGCACUUCCUUGCAUAGAGGCAUUUCCUCCACCUCUUCACGUGGAGGGAGCUCCAAAUCCUCUGGCAUCUUGCAAAACUCCUCAAGUCAUGAAAUAUGAAAUUGUGCUCCAGACUCCACAACCCCACUACAAAAGGGUUACAAGAGUUAGCAAAUGAAUUUCAAUUACAUUAAAUUGAAUAUUUAUAUUUCAAAUGCAAUUAUUACACCAUCUAUAGUAAUAAAAACUCUAGCCAAUAUAUGUUUCUAGAGUGUUGGUGCAACUUCCUUUGGCAUCUCUAGUACAAUAGAAUCUUCCAUGAUUUGUAGUGGAAUUGGUGUUCUUACGAUUUGUAAAGGAACAAGACCAUAUUGAAAACCCUAAAUAUGCAUGCUCUGUAGGUCUAGGGAAUAGAGUACAACAUGGUUCUCAAUGUUGAGGCCAUGCACACAUAAGUAGCGAGCUCAUUUUGAGCCUGAAAAUUUGUGACACUCACCCCAUCAGGGCAUGAAUGUUUCUCUUGGGAAAUAAAAAAAUAACAAGUGUGUUAAUGGAAAGAAUUUUAUAAUGCUAUGCACUUACUAAUAUCUUUGCACAUGAACUCAACGAUAUAUGGUUGAUCUCAAAACAUUGCUAUCCCUUAAUCUCCAUUCAUGCUCUAUAUAAAACACAAGUACAUGUUGUUUACUAUGCAUUUCAAAGCUUACCAACAAGGGACUAGUGCAAAAGUGUGUUCACAUGAGUGUGGUCAUGUAUACGUAUGGGCCAAACAAUUGACAAAAGUAGAGGGCAUCACUUGUAUGCCCCCUUCCACAUCAUGGAAACACCUACAUAAUUGCUAUAGAGAGAAUUGAAAAACUUAUAAGGAAUCAUUAUAAACAUUUACUUGCAUGUAAGUGUAGUGUUUCAAUGCCUUGUGAUUAAGCAUAAAGUUUAUGCCUAAAUAAAGGAAAGAUUACCUCACUUGGAGUUGCAAUGCACAUGAGCAAACAAAUAAAAUCUCUAACCCACAAUCUGAUGCAAUGCCAACCACAAGUCCAUAGGGACAACACAAUGCACCUAACACAUGAAGGAAUGAAGAUCAUAGCUGCCUAAACGCAAAGAGUUCUCACCUAAACCUUGAUCAAUGCAUGCUUUUUAAGCACCUAUCUCGUGACACACAAAAAGAUGGAGAGCCACCCACCUGCAAACCCUAAUUAAUGUGUGCUUGCUGUGCCCAUUGCUUCAUGAAACUUGCUUUUGAAGCCCUCAUGUUGAGCCCAAGAUUGUGUGGAAGUAGUGUAGUACGAAAAACAAAAAAAACAUCGCUAUAUUCAUAUGAGGUCAUAGAAAAUGGAGAGGCCACAAUACCUUCUAGUCCUUGACAACAUCUCAGGCAAUAGACAAAGUUUUUGGUUUUUGGUGGGGGAAAAAGUAUGUUUAUAGCCGAGGAUUGACUUGUAGCAUGCAAUAGCAAUAAUCUUCACCCAUCCGUGCAUGAGUGGAUAGUCUGUUCAGUUACUGUAAUGGCAACUAAGGAGGCUCCACCACUUUGCCAUAGGCUCUUGCUUCUUGGCACCCAGCCAAAGAGUCACCUUAGAGCACUUCCACCUGUGUCUAUUUUUUUGUGACAAAGCUUACAGGCCAUGCUUCUUCGUGGUGGAAAAACUAUAUUAAAACUAAUCUAAGGCUGACUUCUUGAAAUGAUUUGACAGAAGUUUUCCAUGCUUCAUUUAUCAAGAAGUUUGAAGAGGUUGAUUUUGUGAACCAGCUGUUAGAGAUCUGGCAGGGGACUUUGUCUUUGGAUGCAUAUUCCGUGAUCUUUGCCUUAGUUUCAUGAGCAUCUAUAAUGAGCUACUAAAGGUGCAAUGUUUCAUCAAAGGAUUAAACUCAGUGGAUGUGUGUAAGCCAUAAAUUUUUCCUUUCCAAUUUGCAAGAGCAGCUCCCACUCUCAAAAGGGAAACCGACUGCAGUGCUCCCAACUCAUGUGGAGUGGUGCCCCACUUGAGUAUCUUGUGGCUCAUUGGUGCUCGCCCUUCCUAGGGGCUUGGGCCUUCCCUUCAGGAUCGAAGUGGGGGGGGUAAAAGUACCCAUAUUGGGCUGUUAGGCCACGGUGUUUCGCCCCGGUGUCCCGAAGCAAGUAUUGCACCCAAGGCUUAGGAUUUAGAGGGUCCCAUAAUCAAAUCUUGUUGUACCAAGGGAUGUUAAGAACUUGGAGGCUUGGUAUGCUUGGCUUCUUGUGCUUGCGGGGAGCAUAGCCGAACCUUAAGUCCAAUCUAACCCGGGGAGGGGGAUUGGGAGAGAUUUGGGAAUCCGUAAAUGGAUGGCUAACACUCCGUUGCUCAUGCAGUGAGUAGCUGAAACUAAGUAGGACCAAGUAGGAGUUGGUGCAAUAGGUGUGAGGGAACUUAGCAAAGGCUAAGGCGGGGUUGGUCGGAUAGACGAGGUAAGGUGGAGCACUUCCUUGGAUGGCCCCUCCAACACCACCCGAGUCCAUGUUCACUCCCACCCAAGGCCCCUUAGUCCUAGUCUCAACCUCAAGUCAGUUUGGAAGCACCACUGGAGAGUUCCUUCAAAAUUGGUUCCUAAACCUCACUAUCCCUACUAUACUUUUAGAACCCCUUGUAGCCCCCUCCCUUAGAAGACACACACUUUGGGCUUUCACCCCUCGACCUGUAUUAGUACUUGGACUUAGUUUUAGACUUGAUCUCAGACUCGAUCUUGGACCCGACUUCGGACUCAGUCUCGGACUCGACCUUGGACCCGAUCUCGGACGCGACUUCAAAUUUGACCUCGGACUCAGUCUCGGACCCAAUCUCGGAUCUCGAACUCUGUCUCAAACUUGGUCUCGAACUCGGUCUCGGAGUCAGUCUCGGACUCGAUCCCGGACUCUAUCUCGAACUCAGUCUUAGAGUUGGUCUUGGACUCGAUCUCAGACUCAAUCCCAUCCGAUGAACUCUUUAUCAUUUCAAUUAUGCUUUUGGCAAUCUUUUAGUCUACGAUACCUUGGGGAGUUGGUUCCUUACAACUCCACCACCUAUAAAAGAAGUUUGAUACCCACAUCGAACAUCUCUUUUUAAUCCUACGACUUGUUGCCCAUGUCUCCAAGGGCAUCCCCCCACUUAGCGGUGUGCCUAAAUUAGCCUCCUUAGCCAAGAGCCCAUAACAACGGAAUAUAGGUGUCCUUAUACCCCUCAUCUCACCACGCCCUAGUAUAGGGUCGAGACUUGAACCCAUCCUUGCUUUACUAGGGGGUUGGGACUUGAACCCAACCUCUGUAGAAUACAUCUACGAAUUCGACAUCCCUGUGGGGAGUCGGGUGUAGUUCUCUACGCUUGGUUGACUUAGCUAAUCCAUACUAAAUAGCUUACCUUUGGCGUGCCUUUGGGUCCCAAUAUAUGCCAUUGCUCAACUUCACAAUUUAAUACUUUAAUUGAACUUUGCAUAAGUAUAUAGAGUUCUGCCUUAGUAUAAAAGCACUUCCUCCAUUUUGUCACAUUGCACCUCCUCCUCCAUCUUCUUGUGUUGCACCUCCUUGCAUGGAAGCAUCUUUUCCACCUCCUCAUGUGAAAGGAGUUUUAGAUCCUUUAGCAUCUUGUAAAACUCCUUGUGUCAUGAAAUAUAAGAUUGUGCUUCAGACUCUACAGCCCCACUACAAAAGUCCUAGAAGAGUUAGUAAAUGAAUUUCAAUUAUAUUGAAUUGAAUCAUUACACUUUAAAUGUAAUCAUUACACUAUCUAUAGUAACAAAAACUUUAGCUAGUGCGUGUUUUUGGAGUGUUGGUGCAACUUCCUCUGACAUCUCUAUUGCAAUGGGAUCCUCCAUAAUUUGUAGUGGAAUUGGUUUUUUUCAUGAUUUGUAAAGGAAAAAGAUCCUAUUGGAAACCAAACAUGCAUGCUCCAUGGGUCUGGGGAAUAGAAUACAACAUGGUCCUCAAUGUUGAAGCCAUGCACACAUAAGUGGUAAGCUCAUUCUGAGUUAAAACUUUGUGACACUCAAUUUCUCCUGGGAAAUAAAAUAAAUAACAAGUGCAAUAAUGGAUAGAAUUUUAUAAUGCCACACACUUACCAAUAUCCUUGCACAUGAACUCAACCAUAUAUAUGGUUGAUCUCCAAAAAUUGUUAUUCCCCAAUCUCUAUUCAUGCUUUGCAUAAGACACAAGUUUGUGUCGUUUACUAUAAAUUUCAAAGUUUACCAGUAAAGGACUAGUGCAAAAGUGUAUUCGCAUGAGUGUGGUCAUGUACGCAUAUGUGCCAAGCAAUUGACAAAAGUAGAAGGCAUCACUUGUAUGUCCCCUUCCACAUCAUGCAAACAUUUGCAUAACUACUAUAGAGAGAAUUGAAAAACUUAUAAGUAAUCACUAUAAACAUUUACUUGUGUGUAAGUGUAGUGUUCCAAUGCCCCAUGAUUGCAUUCACUAAAAUAAGCAUAAAGCUUAUGCUAAUAAGAAAAACUAAUAAAGGAAAGAUUACCUCACUUGGAGUUGCAAUGCACCUAAGCAGACAAAUAAAAUCUCUAACCCGAUGCAGUGCCAACCACAAGUCCACUAUGAUACAGGCACUUAAAGAGCACAUAUUGAUCAAGGUUUGGGUGAGAGCUCUUUGCAUGUAGGCAGCUGUGAUUCUCGUUCAUGUGUUAAGUGCAUUAUGCUGUCCCUACACAAAGUGGGUAUACACAAACGAUCAAGAGUUGGCUGCUUGCAAACCCUGAUUAAUGCAUGCUUGUCAUGCCCACCACUUCCUGAAACUUGCUUUUGAAGCACCCAUGUUGCACCCAAUAUUGUGGGAAAGCUAUUGCUCUCGGCCAAAAAAUGUGAUUUGACGUGUAUGGGUAUAGCAUUUAAUAUGGGGUUCUGCCACAUUAGUAUGACAUGUGAGAUUGCUAUACCACAUUAGCUUGCCACACAGGUACAUUUGAUGUCAUACGAAAUAUAGCAAUGUUUUUUUUGUCUUUUUUACUGCACUACUUUCCUGUGGCCCCUAGGGCAAUCAAAAUGUAGUAACAAUUGUUUUUAUAACAUGGGCACUAGUGUUUACCUUAUGUAUUGAUAUGAAACCAAACUUGCCUGCUACAAAUUAAUUGCCAUAAGGUGUGAAUUAAACAUGGGAACAAGAAAUGUUUGAUAUGGCCAGAAGACUUAUCAAAGUUAUAUGUGGUGACACAAGUAUUUUGUUGGUUUUGUUCUCUUUAUUUGCAUCUCAUCAUAUUCUUUUCCAAGAGUAUUGCGAUGGGUAGUUUGUCAAUUAUGAUACAUGGUCAUUUUAUUGCCAUGAUCGCAACUUUCACAUGUAUUGUACACCCAAGAGCCAAAAUUGAUGAUGGUAUAGGCAUUCCCAAAUGCACCACCACCAAUUCCAACACCCCACCCUCCCCCAGUUCCAGCACAUGACUCUAUGUAAUGGGAGUGAUGUCGAGCAUUAGAAAGGAGAGUAGCACUUGAUGUGUGUAUAAAGAUAUUCUCAAAGGUAGUUGAGUUGGGGACAUGCUACUACUACACUCUAGAAGCUAUUUACAAAGUGUUGUUUGAGGUGUUAUUCAUGGAGUUGCAACCUAUUGCCACAACUUUAUGAAAGGGUUUCCAACGUAUCAUAUCCAAACACCACAGAGAAGAUGGAGAGGUUUUUGGUACGUAGGUUCAUAGUUAAGGAUUGGCUUGCAGCAUGCAAUAGCAAUAACCUUCAGCCAUCCAUGCAUGAGUGGAUAGUCUGUUCAGUCAGUGUAAUGGCGACCAAGGAGGCUCCACCACUUUGCCAUGGGCUCUCCCUUCUUGGCACCCAGCCAGAGAGUCACCUUGGAGCACUUCCACCUGGAUUUUAUGGUGUGCAAUUGUCUACAUGCAAUGCAGUCAUCAAAUUAAACAAAAGGUACAAAACCUACAAGCACCGUGAGUCAUCCACUCCAGGUGGGCCAUACUCAGAGCUCUCGGCUGCGUCACCCCAGCGUCAAGUUUGGCGACGCUGUGUGGUUCAAGGCCAGCUCGCAGAUCUUCAAGGAAGGUGGCCUCGACUACCUGGGAAAUUCCAACCUCGUCCACGGACAGAGCAUCCUUGCCAUCUGGGCCUGCCACGUUAUCCUCAUGGGAGCUGUCGAGAGGUGGACCGCUCGGCGAGGGACUCGGAGGUGCGUCUGAUCCGCUCGGACUCGCUGACGACCCGAUACUUUCGCUGAGCUCAAGGUGAAGGCAUCGAGAACUUGUUCGACCACCAUGACAACCCCACCGUCAACAACCUGGCAUAACUUCACUCCCGGAUCUUAGACGCUUCAAAUCUGCAAAGAAAAAAAAGAAAAAGAUGUUGUUCCGAGAUCACUGUAAACCAGAAUAAAAGAGGCUUCCUUCCUGUCACUGUUGACGCUUAGGAACUUGUUGUGAAGAGCAGUGAUCCUGUUGUACUUGACAAA